AAAAAAAUAAUAAAGUCGGCAGCGGAUUGCAGCCCACGGCCGGCUUCGGCCGGCACGAUUUUUGGCGCCAUCCGCCCUAAACCCCUCUCCUUCUCCGCGUCGUCGUCGUCCUCCUCCUCCUCCAUGUCUCCGCCUCAUCCUCUCCCUCUCCCUCUCCCUCUCCCCCUUCCUCCUCCUCCUCCUCGUCCUCCUCCUCUUCCUCUCGGCCAUGGGCUGCGCCCAAUCGAAGCCCCCGACCUCGCACUCUCCCCCCAGCGGCGGCGUCGACAGGCUCAAGCUCGACGGCCGCUACCUCCCCGCCGCCGCCGCCGGCGGCGCGAAGCGGCCCCAGCCGCCGCGCGGCCCCGCCGAGCGACGGGAGAGGGUUAGGGUAGCGGAUGCGGCGGCAGGAGGAGGAGGAGGGAGGAGGGAGAGGGAGAGGGAGAGGGUUGGGAGAGACGAUGGGGCGGCGGAGAAGACGAAGGCGAAGACGAAGACGAAGACGACGACAAUGGCGAUGGCGACGCCCCCGUCGAGAGGAGGAGGAGAGGCGGAGGAGAUGGUGGAUGGGUGGCCGCGGUGGCUGCUGGAGAACAUCCCCAGGGAGGUGCUGAGUGGGCUCGUGCCCAGGAGCGCAGAUUCAUACGACAAGAUCGAUAAGGUGAUUGUGUUACUCUCUUUUGAUUACCGAAUUCAAUCUCCAAAUACCCUGUUUGGACGUCGGAAUAAGAAAUCCAAUGAUAACUUAUUCAGGUAUGAUGAUCUUCUUAUGUAAUUGGAAAUUAGGAAUUCGAUUUUUCGCUCCUUAAAAGGUCUUGAGAUUCAUGAUUUGGUGCGAUGUUAUGGAAAACUUUGGCUUAAAGGCUGAAUAUGGUAUCCGUUCUAGACAUUUACUAUAUGCCUCUUGAGUAAAUGGAAGUGAGAUGUUCAUGUGUCCAAACAUGGCCAAAGUUAUCUUACACCUAGAUCGAUAAACUGAUGUGUUGCUCUCUUUCUAAUACCCAAUUCAAUCUCCAAAUUACGCAUCAUCGUUUCAACAUGGAGGCCCUACUUGCGUGUCGGAAUAAGAAAUCCAAUGAUAUGUUAUUCAGUACGAUAAUUUUCUUGUGUAAUUGGAAACUAGGAGUUUUUUUUUUUUUUUUUUUUUUUUUUUUUUUUUUUUUUUUUUUGUUUUGCUCCUUUGAAGGUCUCGGCAUCCAUGAUUUGAUAGGAUAACAUAUUUCACUACGAGGUGAUCUAUCUUAUCCUGAAAAAAUGGUUUAAAGGCUACGUAUGAUAUCUGUUCCAGACAUCUUAUCAUACUCAUAUAUAUUAAAUACUGUAUGCUUCUUGAGUAAAUCAAAGUAAGAUGUUCAUGCAUCAGAACAUCGUCAAAAUUAUGAUACUAUCUACAAUUAAGCUUUUACUGUCUCAAAUGGUUCAUGAAAACUUGGUUUAGCAACAAUCUAAAUAGAAUUUAAUGGAAUCCAAAUGAAAAAAAAAAUCAAUUGAAUUUAUCUAGAAAUGUAUUUCUUUGUUUGGAUUAAGUCAGAUUUCAGCUGAAUUUUAUUCCGUUUUGUUGUUUGGUAUAAGAUGAGUAAUCAUUUUAAUAAGAUUACUUUUUCUAUGUAUCCUCACUUAUAUAAAAGGAAAGAUGUAUAAUUAAUUUGAGGAGGGGUAGUUUGGGUUAUUGAUAAAGGAUAACUAAUAGCAGAUGAAUUCUCACCAAAUCCAACUUCAAACCAUGCGAAUUGGAUGAGAUCCAUUUGUAUUAUGAGAGAUCCCACUGAAUCUUUCUGAACUGAAUUCUCAUUAACUUAUGGUACCAAACAACUAAUUUAUAAAAACUAGCAUUCAACUCUUUGAACUCUAGGAUUUUGGGCAGUCAAACAGGAUGUUAGAUUGAUUUGGUACAAAAUUUAUGUGGCAUGCCUAUGACAGAAAAGACUUUCUCCACAAUGACAACAUUUUGGGUGACAGUAGUGGUACCAUUUUUGGCUACUGUCUGUCAGCCUUUUAAUGGAGUAUAGUGUUUCAUGAGAGUUUGGCAAAAAGAGAAGUGCAACACAAAAAGUGAAAACAACCCUAGUAUUUAAGUUGUAUAUUUUGUAUUCCAAAGUUCUAAAAGUGGUUCAGCUUAAUUCUAGCCAUCAUCACUGAUUAGAGGAAAACUUGUUAUCUGCACCUGGUGUGCAGGUACGUCCGUCCACCAGGUCCACCAGGUGUCCAUCAGUUUUCCAUCCAUCUUAUAUUUUCAAUCAACCAUUGAAUUCUUAAAAGAGAAAAGGCCGCAAUUCAGUGGUUGGUAGGGAUUGAAAUAUGAGAUGGAAUUAAUGGCUGAUGGAUAUGUAGUGUGUGAUAUACGGAUGGACGGGGUGCAGGAAUUCAAAGAGUAGAUGAGAACAAGGACUAAAUUGAAAUACUUCCAAACAUUUGGAGGAUAAACCAUCGAACUUAAAAAUUUUGAGCAAAGUGAAACUUCACCAUUAGUGCAAUGCACCUGUUCUUUUUAAUGAGAAGCUCAUUGAACUCUUCUUGGUUCAGGUGGGUCAAGGGACCUAUAGCAAUGUGUAUAAAGCUAUAGAUCGAGAUACUGGAAAAAUAGUUGCUUUGAAAAAGGUACGCUUUGACACAUCGGAGUCGGAGAGUGUCAGAUUUAUGGCACGGGAAAUUAUGAUACUGCAGAGGCUGGAUCACCCUAAUGUCAUUAAACUUGAAGGCCUUGCAACUUCAAGGAUGCAUUACAGCCUUUACUUGGUUUUUGACUUCAUGCAAACUGACUUAGCAAGGGUGAUAUCUUGUUCUGAUCAGAGGCUUACAGAACCACAGGUUCUUAUACGAAACAAAAUAUAGCAGAAUUUACAUUUAUGCACUGUAGAAAUCAGAGUUUUGACAGAUGCCUUUGUACAGGUUAAGUGUUAUAUGCAACAGCUGCUAUCGGGUCUUCGGCAUUGCCAUCAGCGUGGAAUCUUACACCGAGACAUUAAGGGUUCUAACCUGUUAAUAGAUAAAUAUGGGAUGCUGAAGAUUGCUGACUUUGGGCUUGCUAACUAUUUCAAUCCUAAUAAAAAACGGCCGCUUACAAGUAGAGUGGUCACACUGUGGUACAGAGCACCUGAACUACUGUUAGGAACUACGGAUUACGGAGUUGGAAUUGAUCUGUGGAGUGCAGGUUGCCUUCUUGCUGAAAUGUUUGCUGGGAGGCCGAUAAUGCCUGGUAGGAAUGAGGUGAGGAGCUAUUUGAUUACAAAAGCAAUUUUUAUGGGCAACAGAACUAGCAGUCUAGAUCUUUUCUUUGAAUUUUCACGUUAUGAAUGCUUGUAUCUGAGUAGAAUGGUGCAUUUGCAAAGCUUUGAAUUAUUCUUCGUUGUACGUUGGAAAAGAAUUAAAUAUUCAAACAUCUAUUCCAUAGCAUUAAUAAAUUGAAUAGAUAAAAUUAUAUAUUACUAAAAGCAUGAUUCAUAUUAGGGAACAUGGAAGCUUCAAAAAUGUUGUUGUGUCCAUAUCGGACAUGUUGAGCAGUUCUCAUAGGCAAAAAUAUUAUGAAUCCUCAUGUUACCAUUUAUUCUUGGAGUUCCUUGAAAGCUCUAGUCUAGAUUACCGUAUUAUGACUUCACUAUUCUGUUUAAUGUGCUUUAAAGAUAUUUCAGUCUUUUUCAAUUUGUAAUUUUUAUGUGGGAAUACUUUUCUGAAGUUUCCUUUGGUGCUUCUAGUUCUCCUAAACUCGGUUGCUUUUGUGUUCUUUUUUAUUAUUAAUAUCCAUGCUUUAAUUUGUAUUUAGGUAGAUGUCCUUACCCCUUACAUAUACAUACAUGGCGUGGGGCAUAAAUUGCCAAAAUUAUCCGAAGACAAAUGCGACUACAAAUUCCCUAUGAGAAGCGAUGCUUAGCUAGUGUUAAUUAUUACUUAGACUUUUCGGAAGAUUUGAGCUGAACUAAUGUUAGAAUCUUAGCUUUGUCGUAAGUGUACAUAUCUCUUGUCAAAUGCUCUAUGAAUAAUUUUGGUGCUCACGCUUUAGCUUUUAAUCAAUCAAACAAAGUUAAGCAUAUUUGAAGACCUCAUUUUAUAUAUGUUUUUCUUUUUUUCUCUCAAGCUCGGUUCAUCUAUCAGCUAGCAACUGGCUUGCAGUUUCAUGCUUUUAGGAGCAAAACAUGCUCAACCAGUCUUUUGAUGACCCAAUCAACUACAUUUAGCAGUUUGGUUGACUUGCAGCUCCUAAUAGGCUAAUGUCUAUGUCAAAAGUUGUUCUUGACCUAAGUAGUUUAUUUGUAGAGUUAACCAGUUAGGAUUCUACAGACAAGUAGUUAAAGACUCUCAAGAACGGUUGGAUAGUUGCUAAUUUAGCAAUUAAUUUAUGUAUAGGCGAAGUAAGUUGUUUUUACUUUGUGUUAGUUUGUCUCAUAAUGAUAUAUAUAUAUAUAUAUAUGAUGGAACUGAUGAAGGUGCUUUAUGUUUCAUACAUUUCUCUGAUUCAUAGUCUUUCAUAUUCAGAUUGAGCAACUUCACAGAAUAUAUAAGCUUUGUGGAUCCCCACCAGAUGAUUAUUGGAGCAAAAUGAAAUUGUCUCCGAUCUUCCGAUCUCCACAAUCUUACAAACCAGCUAUUUUGGAAACUUUUAAGGAUUUUCCUUCUUCCUCACUUGGUUUGCUCAGUAUGCUUCUUGCGUUGGAUCCGUCGAAUCGUGGCACUGCAGCUUCUGCUUUGCAGAAUGAAGUAGGUUACUCUUCAUGAUUUGAGCAUACUAGCUUUCUAGCAUGAGUAGAAUAUGACAGUAAGAGAAAUUUUACCAGUAGAAAGCAUAUGUUUUUUUUUUUUUUUUUUGAGAGAAUUCGUUUAUUUUUUUAUAGAAAUAAACUUAGCUGAAAAUGUGAAUCAACUAGGAUUCGAAUUUGGGUCCUCAGGUACCAACCACCAAGCCUUUUGCCACUUGCACUAGGGAUGGUCGGUAGUAGAAAGCAUAUGUUAAGCACUUGUUUUGAGUUUAUAAGUCACACUAGUAUAAUAGAGAGAAAAACCUUAUAUGUUUUUUUAUUCAUUACAACCAUCCUUUAAGCCUAGGGUUGUAAUAUUGUGUAUUAAGCAUAUUUCUUGUUGAUUUUUUGACAAUUUUAACUAAACUUCGUUGCAAUCGUUUCUGAGCAAUGGAAAAAAAAUUAGACAUUCAUUAUGCAUGUCUUAGUUUAAUACAUCCAUGGAGAUUCCAAAUUACAUUGUUGCAAAGCAUGAGUCAACAGGCUUGGUUGGUUGGUUCAAUUUGUACUUUUCAAUAUAUCUUGAUUCUUAUAAUCUGUUGAUUGACAUGUUUAAAUGCAGAUAAACAAAGUGAACUAAUUCGACUCUUGUGAAUUAUAAAUAUGAUCAAAAUGUCACUGUUCUGAAAAUUCGUCUGCUUUUCUGUGACUGCUUAUUGUGCAAGUAAGAAAUGUUUCAAACAUUUAAGCUAUUGAUUUAUAACUAAGAAAUCCUGAAGCAUUUUUGGUCCAGAUUUCUUAGCUUUCCAACUGGUUGUUCCUUGUCUAUGUGCUUUGUGUUGGAGUCCCAUAGUUCUUCCUAUUAUUUGUUUAUAUAACAUUGUUGCACUCCAGCCAAUGAUGCUAGCAAGGAUGCUUUCAUCUUAUCGGUCAAUCUCCAAGCCCAUUUCCUAAUAAUUUACUAUUCAAGAUAUUACAGUCUAUUCACCUUAUGUUUACUUCAUCUGCUUUUGUUCACUCAAUUUCGGGGCUACAUAUGUGUUGCAUAUUAAUUUGCGUUCUAUGUAUCUGGAUUGUUCUACUUUUUGAAAAAGUGAUGACUUAUGAUCCCUUCCUUUGCAGUUCUUCAGCACAAACCCCCUGGCCUGCGACCUCUCUGGUCUUCCUGUGAUCUAUAAAGAAGAUAAGGAUGACUAUACUCACCUGCGUGAUGGACAAAAGUAAGUUAAACCUUUUGCUCUGAUGUUUUUCAGAUCUAUAUUCUGCUCAUGGAAUUAAGAGCUUGUUGUGAUGGUUUUACAAUGUAUUAUUAAUCAAGAAAGAGAUAAAAUUUCAUGUAACUUGAGUAAGUAUUUAGUUCGAUGCAUCUUGUAAGGUAGGAAGCAGAUUUUGGUUUUUUUUUCGUAUCUAAUGGAAAUAUUUCUGCCCUCAUUCCUAUAGUUCUAUACUGAAAUAUCGUUUUCACAAACUCUAUCUCUCCAUAUUACUCUUAUAGGCGCAAAUCUUCUAAGCUGAAGCAACGUUCUUACAAGCAGAGAGAGGAUGCCAAGAAAAUUGAGGCAGAUAUGGCAAGAAGGAAAGCAGAUUCUGGAUCAUCAAAAGAGGUAGGGAUCUGGGACACCAAUAACAAGUGGGAGGAAUACUGUUACUCUAGUUUCCUGUUUCUUUGUAAUCACUAAUUUAAAUUUUCUUUUGUAGGUACAUUCAUACAUGCACUAAUCUUUUAAGUUAACACUUAAUUUGAAUGAAUCUUUUUUGUCACAUUAUGUCAUCCAAUUUUUUGAAGUUUUCAUAGGAGCUCUUGGGCUGAACUAAACCUAACAAUUGCCACAGGUGCCACUAAUGUAGACUAACCAUGGAAUAUUAACCAACUUUGUGGAACUUGCUUUUUCUAGAUAUAUUCUUGGUGUUAUUCCACUUACAUCCUUUUUCCGCAGGAAGAGAAACCUACAGAUGUGAGAGUACAGAUACAAGAAAUAGGUAGCAGCGUAGCAAGCACUUCUUCAUCCAUAACAAAGCCCAAAAAGUAUGCAGUGGUGCCGGGUGAAUCACUCUAUCCAGGAUCAUAUCUACCUCAAGAAGUAACGCAAAGAUCCGAUGCCCAUCCUUCGGCCUCUAAGAACAUCAAGAAUUUCCCACCACAUGCUGCUAUUGAAGAGGUUCCUGGUGGUCCCAAAGGUCGAGAUGUCAUGCACCGUUAUGGUUUAGAUAGGUCGAUCUCGAUGUCAGAGUUCCACAGGAUGGACGGAAAGGAUUUGUCAAAACUGUAUGUUCUUGUUGAUUAGACAUGCACAAAUAUUUUAUUUUAUUUAUGUUUGGGACAAAUGUACUAGUAGUUCCUAAAAACUUCGACUUACUGCGAUUUGGUCCGUAACAUCCCCACAUUUGCUUCUUUUGGAAAUCCAUGACGUUAUGCGACAUUUUUGGUCCCGAAGAAAACAAAUUGAGUGGUAAAUGAUGGACAAGAUCAUCACUUUGAUAUGUGGUCAAGGGGAAUUUAAACUCCGGAGAAAGUAAAACAAUUCAGGGGCCGAAUCGCAGCGAGUCAAAGAGAGAGGGCCUCCUACAUAUUAUAACCCUGUGAGUUUACUACUAUUGAGUUGCUUACACAUAUUACAUGAAAGUGUCUCCUUGUAGUUGUAAAAACAAUGACAAAUAUCAAUUUUAUAUGUAUGUCGAACUUCCGUGUUCGUUUUAUUUGCUAUUCUUUUGUACAUUGAUCUUUAGCAUAAACUGUCUGAAGUUCAAAUGGUAACUGGCAGGGCCAUAUAUCAAAGGAAAAGAAAGAAUUGAUUCUUAUUCUUACUUUCAUAUGGAAAGGGAAUUGUGUGAUUCCCUAUUUUGAUUUUGUUUUCAGGAAUUGAUCUUCAGAAUUGUUCUGAGAAGCCAUGCCUGAAAUCUUAAUAUUGCAAGGUGGAAUAAUCUUAUCAAAUUCCCAUUCAGGUUCCAACCAUUCCUAUUCCAUUCCCUAUUCAUGGUUGUUGCUCCUUUUGAUGCUGUGCAGUUUCCUAAGAGUAGAUAAAAAUAGAAUCUGGACAGUGAAAAUUAUAUCGCAAAAAAAAUUUCACAGGUCUAAACACAUAUACAGAAUCAAUCACUUUAGCAUACAUUCUACUCUCAUUCAUUUUUGAGCGGGUAUAGCAUUUUUUCGUCUAUUUCAAUUUCUAAGUAAUGUUUUUUUUUUUUUUGAGAAAAGAUAGCAUGCUACCGCUUCAUUCAUAAAGGUAGUGAACUAAGCAAGGCUUUGAGACAGCGGGGCCUCGGUACGAGCGAAAAAAAAAAAAAAAACUCAAGGAAGUGUAGAGCGAUUUAGUCGCGUCUUCUACAUAGGGUCCUCCACAUGUGCCAAAAAUUGCGGGAUUGCGCCAACAAAGAGCUCAAGUUCCGUUUCUUUCGCUGGAAGAUUCUCUUAUUCCGCUCCAAUCAAAUAGUCCACCAUAUGGAGGCAAUGUAAGAUAGCUCCGAACCCCCUAUGGCACCGCCUUUAAGGGUACUAGACCCCCAAAGCCCUCUCACAGACGUGCAGUGUAGUAAGGAUGUUUUAUUAGAAACUUGACUUACCAGGAGAGUCAUUGUAGAUUCGCAAUACACAAAGAGAUGAUCAACCAUCUCAGGCUCCAAUCCACACAUGACACACUCUUGCUCACCGUACCAUCCUCUUUUCAACAGAUUAUCCACUGUCAGUGCCUUUCGCUUCAAAACAAGCCACACAAAGAUUUUGACUUUUAGUGGGGCUCUAAUCUUAUAUUUUAUAUAUCUACUUUUAUAUUUUAUAAUUUUUUACUAAUAAUUCAACAAAUCUACUGAUUCUGAUUAUAAUAUGGAGAGAGAGAGAGAGAGAGAGAGAGAGAGAGAGAGAGAGAGAGAGAGAGAGCAAAACAGGCAAGUUUUUAUGCUUUGUGGGGUUGAACACCUACACCAUGCAAAAGAUCCACUGAUUCUGCUGCAAGACAAAGCUGCUUAAUUAUUAAGCAAACACUGCAAGUGCAGCAGCAGCAGCAGCUUCUGGGAGAAGCUUCUGCUGCUGAAAUUAAUUUUGCCAGAGUUUUUAAGUCAUAACUUAUCUAUAUACAUGACAUGAGCAAUUUCCCAAUCUAUGAUAAUACUAUCACACACACAAGGCAUGGGCUAUGCAUGCAAUAUCUACUCAACAUUGAUUGCUGUCAUGGUUACAAUUCUGAGACUACGACUUGCAGCUGCUCCUCCGUCGUAAAGACUUCGGUAGAUUCUUAGAUUGACGGAGAUUGACGGGAUUCUUAUCGCCCGCUUGUCUUUUUCACUAUGCCUUCUAUUUUUGCUAGAUUAUCUUAGACUUACAUCUUAUUUCUUAUCAAGGACAGGAUGGAUAUGCUUGUUUUAAUGAAUACGCAGAUACACGGAAUUAUAAUUUCAAAAAGAAAAAGCAGCUCUCUAUCUCUCUACUAACGAUCGUCUUGUAUUUGGUGAAUUGUAAUCUUUAAAACAUGUAGUUUUGGAUGUUUGUAUGCAUGAAUUAUCCAGUAAUAACUUAUGUGUUGUUAGAAUAUUUAUCUCUAUAUACGAUAAUACUAUAGAAGAAAAAGUACAAAAUGAUUCAACUAUCUCUCUCUAUCUAAACUAUAGCAAUAUAACCAAAUAGGGAAAAUAAAUCAAUAACUUUUGGAAUAAAUGUGUAUGUAACAUAUUGUCAUUCACAUAGGAAUAGGUUUGAUGUUCUAUAAGAGAAAUGCUUUGAGUCUCCACGCUGUAUGUACCCCAUUAUAUUGUUGAUGUAUUAGCACUUACGUGUUUAGGAUUCAAAGUUUAAUUAUGGCGUUUGGGGUAUAGGGUUUAGAGUUUUAAUUAUGAUGUUGCCAAUACAUUAAUAACAUAGUAGGGGACACAUGUAGGGUACACAUAAUAGUGUUGUUCAGAUAAAUGAAUAAAUCAUAAAAUUAACCCAAAUACACCAUUUGAAGUCAUAAAAUAUUUCAAAUAUAUACAAAAUUAUAAGAAAGGAAAUGGAGCACCACUUAAGUUACCUAGGAAGGGUAAUUUUUGAGAUCCAAAGAUUAAAACUUUAAAUAUAUAUCUCUGAUCCAAUUCUAAUCAUCAAUACUAUACUCCAUUAAUUUGGAAUUAAUUGUAACCUCACAUUGAGGUUGAGUCACCACCUAAUAAGCAUAGAUCUAGAGGUGCAAUUUAUGGACAAUUAUUCCUGUGUUACACAUUUUGAUUCCUCAUAAAGAAUCAGAUUAUUUAUUAGCAAGAAAAGAUUAAUACUAACCUUAAGGAAACAAAUAUAUUAUAGGGUAAAUUUUAAAACAUCCUAUGAUUCAACACAUUUUCACGUCACCAUAUCCGAGGUUCCAAAUUCGAAGCUUAAUUGCUUCAUAUUUCUAGCUGAGUUCAUGUAAAAAAAAAAAAUAACAAACCAAAAGAAAAAUUGGAAUAAUUGUUCUCUUCCAUAUAUUCAUAUACAACAUAAUAUACAUAAUCUUAAAUAUUCAAACAUCAACUUAAAUUGUUUUCAAAUAUUAGCUUCAGAUUACACAGCUCUAGUUAAUUAAAAGACAAUUUGUAGAAGGGACUGCAUAUUUUUCAAAUUAAGAUCAGUUAUCUAAAUUUAUAACAAAAAAACCUUUCCAAAUGCAUAGAUUAUAACAAUUCUAAUACAAACACUUCCAUCACAGAGAAACACAAAAAAAAAAGAAAAAAAAAAAGAGUUUUGAUUUAACAUACCACCAAGCCUAAAUUACUAAUAUUAAACCCAUAAUCCACUUUUUAACCAAUUAUUCAAAACUUCAUCCAUAAGACACAUAUACCAUUUUUACACUAAUUCUACAUUAAGAACAAAAGCAACCCAAAAAAAAAAAAAGAGUGAUAAAAAUAUAUAUAUAUAGAGAGAGAGAGAGAGAGAGAGAGAGACUAGGCUUGUUUUUCAGUUUCUGCUCAGAUGAAAAGCGCACUAAUUAAUAAAAUAAAGUGAAGGCUCAAUUUCACCUGUCCAUCACUUAUAGACGAAAACGUUUAUGCUCGAAUGCACGAACAACGAAAUAGAUACCACAUCAUAUUACGAAUAAAGUAAAUAUAUGAUUGGACGGAUCAGAUUGAGUCUUCAAUCUUUUAUUUUGUUAUAAGUGCAGCGUUUACGCAAGUGCAGGAGGACGUAAAACCAAAACGAUGAACAGCUGAGAUUGAGCCUUCGGUGCUUUUAUUCUGUUAUCUGCACGCGGUUGCGUCUCAGAUGCCGUAGCGGGCGUCGGAGAGCUUGGACUUGAUCCACUUGAAGCCGCUGCGGACCGAUGACUUGAGCCGCCCCUCGACGGCGAAGACGUUGUAGGCCGCGAUGCGCCGCUUGCGCUUCAGCUCCGGGUCGGCCGAGCUCGCGAACCCGUCCCGCGUCCCGCUCGGCCCGUUGAACGAGUACGACGACGAAUUCGCCGCAGUUCGCCCCUCUAUGUAGCUGUAGGAGUGGUACUGAGCAGCAGAAGGGAAAGACCUGCUCUUCUCCAUAAGAGCAGUUUUGUAUGUGAGAGUCAAGAGAGAGAGAGAGAGAUCUAAAGAUGUGUGUUGUGUGUUGUGUAAGUGUGUUUAAUGUAGGAUGCCGAUGACGAUGAGUACGGAUACCCAAAAUUUUAUCUUAAUCUGCAUAGGACGGGUUUAUCUAAUGCUAAACUCAUAUAAUUUCGGAUAUAGGUAUGAAAAUGAAAAUCCGAGGGAUACAAAUUUGGGUAUUGAUUUUGUUUUUAUAAACCGAUCAGAAUCUGAAUUCAACUCGAAGCCGAAUAGAUUUUAUAUAUAUGAAUAAUGUUUGAUAUUAUAUUUGAAUUUGUACUUUAAAAUUUUAAAUUUUAAUAUAAAAUGUAUUGAACUACGGCACCGGAUUUGAAUUUUUGAGUUCAUUCGGGUUUUGAAUUUUUGUUUGGAUUCAAUUUUUGAAUAUGAAAUCUUAAGAUUUGUCCAAUUUUGAAUUCGAACUUUUUGAAAAUUCGUCUUGAACCCGACCCGUUGACGGUCCUAUAUAGUUUAAUGGAUGGUGGGGUCCACUGUUAGUGAUGAUGGGUUUUGUUGGGGAAGAGUGUGGUGGAGAGUGGAGGCAUCAAUUAGUGGGGUUUGCCCCACAUGUGAUGUUGAAGGAUGAUUAUUUGCUCUCUCCUUAAUGGGGAUGCAAAAUGGAUCCGGGUUCAUUGAGCUUCCAUAUCGAUCCGUCCCGAAUAGGAUAAUAAAUAAGAAUCAAAAAUAAAAAAAAAACAUAAAUAAUUUAUUUCAAAUCUGCACCAUAGAGUGAAAGGUAGGGGACUUUUUUCUUUCAUUGAUAUGUUCUGAUCCGCUAAUAAUUUGUCAGGAAUUUACUUUCGCACUGAAUAGAAAGGCAAACGAGGAUAAAAAAAUAGAAUGGAAAGUGGAUCUCGAUUCAUCGAGCUUAAGUCUCGACUAGUUCCAAAUAGGAUAAUAAAUAGGGGCCGAAAGAACGAAAAAAAAACUAUUUAAAUUCGCACCUAUCGAAUAGAAAAAUAGAACAGAAGGUGGUAGACCUUUUUCUUUCUUUGGAAUAGAAAAAUAGAACAGAAGGUGGUAGACCUUUUUCUUUCUUUGGUAUGCUCUGAACCAUUAAAAUUUUGCUAGAAAUCUACUUCCACACCGAAUGGAGAGUUAAACGAGGGCAAAAAAAGGAUGGAAAAUGAAUCUGGGUUCAUAGAGCUCCAGUCUCUAUCCGUUCCGAAUAUGACAGUAAAUAGGAGUAAAAAAUAAGCAAAAAAAAAAAAUCUAUUUUAGAUCCGCACCUAUCCGAUAAGUAGAGCAGAGGGUGGGGUAUCCUUUUUUGUUUUUUAGUGCAUUCUAAUCCGUUAAUAAUUUGCCAGGAAUCUACUUCCGCAUGGAUCUGGAUUCAUGGAGCUCCAGUCUCGACCUGUUUCGAAUAGGACAGUAAAUAGGGGCCAAAAUAGCCAAAAAAAAACAAUCUAUUUCGAAACCUCACCUAUCCAAUAAAAAAAUAGUCAAAAAUGAGAGGAAAAAAAAAAAAGAUAAUCUAUUUCGGAUCCACAUCUAUUUGAUAAGAAAAUCAAGUGAAAGAUGAGAAACUGUUUUCAAUAUAUUCUAAAUAGAAAAAAUUAUUAGCUUUAAAAUAUCUAUUAUUCCUAGAGAAUCAAUGUUGUAAAAGGUUAUUAUCUAUUAUAUUAUAUGAGAAAUAAGUUUUUUUUAUUACUUUAUAAAACAAAUAAGAUAAAAAUGUACCCUAAAAUUAGGGCUUAUUUUAAUUAUGUAAAAAUUUUAGGUGUUAAGUUUUACUUUAAAAUGUAUAUUCACAAUUGAGAUAAUGAGGCAAACACUUAAUGAGAGAGUCAAAUAAUUUGAACAAAUUUUAUGAAUUCACUAAUAUCUUUUUAAAGUAAAACUUAACACCUAAAAUUUUUACAUAAUUAAAAUAAGCCCUAAUUUUAGGGUACAUUAUUUUUAAUCUUUAAUUUUUAACACCUUGGUCAGCCCUUUUUGGCUGACCUGUUUUCUUUUUCAAAAAAAAAAAAAAAAAAAAAAAAAAAACACAAUUGUUUUCCCUCUUUUGUGGCACUUUAUGUUGUGUCCACUGUAUAGAAGCUACAGAGAAAAUUAAUGGGAUAAAUUGCACACGUGACAUUUUGAUUCUCAAAUUUUAAUUUAUUUUAAUUUUUAUUUAAAUUUUUUAAAUUUUAAUUAAAUAGUAACGUAUUAUUUAUUUAGAAUUAAUAUGACAUCUUAAUUAUUACCACCUCACCAAUCAUAAUAUAUUAUUAUAUUACUUUCGUAUUAAUGACAUAUUAAUAUUUAUUCAUCUAAAUUGAAUUGUGAAACUUAAUUAUAAUAAUUUAAAAUUUUGAGUGAAAAAUUAUAGUAAAUUAAAGUUCGAAAAACAAAGCGUCACACGCAUCAUAAUUUGAGCAUCAAAAGUGUUUUAUUCUCUCACCUCACCUCUCUCUCUCUCUCUCUCUCUCUAGAUCUCUCUCUCUCUUAUUUAUUUAUUUAUUUAUUUAUUUAUUUAUCACUUCACCAUGUUUGAUUAGUACUACAGGGUAACCACCACUAUUAUGACACAUUGAAACUUUAGUGGGCAUGUAAUUGUGAUGAGCAUCACCCUCCACUUUAGAUUCUCUUUCACUCCUUGAUGUGAUCUUUUUUAUUUUUAUUUUUUUAUUUAAAGUACCUUUCUCUUUUCUUAUUUUAAUAUUAAGAAAUGUGGUUUAUGCAAAAGAGAUGCAUGUUGUACUGUAAAUUGGAUUCUUAUUGUUAGUUGUAAUAUUUUUUUAAAUUAAAAUAGAUAGAGAGAAUUUUACCUUGGUUUAACAUUUGGAGGAACAAAGAGGGGAAAAUUUUUCACAGUUUCAUAUAACCAUAAUUUUUUAAUACUUAGGACUCUACUCCGACACAGAAAUAUCUUAUUCGACACAUCUUUCUAAUUUAUUAAAAAAUAUACAGUAUUUGAGAGAUGAAAAAUAUGAUCAAAUAUUUAGCAGCAUGUAUCAUACUCGGUCUUCAAAUUGUUUUUUUUUUUAAAGUAAGAUCAGUCAUCUUGUUGGUGAAAUAUAUAAUUAUACCUAAUCAUAAAUGCCGAGAUCUUUCGAAGAACAAAAAUCAAAUUUUUAGAAGGUGUUUGGUUUCUCGAAAAAGCAUAAAAAAUUAUUUUUUGAAAAAAAAAGUUUUUAAUGGAAAUGACUCUUUUUCACAAUUUCCGUUUUUCAGAUAAAGUAUCUGAAAAAUAAAAACACUACUUUUCAUAAAAUAUGGAAAAAAAAAAAAGUAGAAUAACAUUUUUCUUAUGAACCCAAAAAUACUUAUCCAGCAAAAAAAAAUUUCUGACAUAUAAAUGCGAAACGCACCCUUAGUUUUCAUUCAUGCACAAAAAAAAAAAAAAAAUUCAUACAUAAUAAAUUAUUACUAAAUACUUCCACAUUACUUCUACAUUAGCUAUUUGUCAAUAUUUAAUCAACAAAAUUAAAUUUUAAAAACUUGAUUGCAAUAAGUUAAAAAGUUUGAGUAAAAAAUUAUUAUAAAUUAAAGUUUGAGAACGGAAGUGUCACGAUCCUAAUAGUUUGAAGACCGAAAAUAUAAUUUUAUCCAAAAAUUAUAUUUUUGUCACAUCAUUUGUUUUUUUUAAUACUACAACCUAAUUUAGAUUUCUUAAAAGCCUAAGAAAUGAUUGGAUUAGAAUCUUAAUUCCUACAAUCCAACAUGGGUUGUAUAAAUGGAGAAGUAAUAAUUAAUUCUCUCCGAUUCCUAUAAGGUUUGUAACCAAAAGUCCAAAAAAAAAAAACAAAAAACAAAAAAAAACAACAACAACAAAAGUGAAACAAAAAUAUCCAAUCCAAUCUACUUUCCAAGUGAGGGAAAAAGAUAAUCAAAUUCCAAUUCAAAACAAAUUAAGUUAAAUUCAUGAAAUUAUAGAACUGUAUUUUGAAUUGCACCUCAUUUGGUAUCACAAAAAGAGAAUAGUAAAGUCACUUAAAUUGGAUCAACAAUAAUAAAUAAAAAAAAAAAGAAAGGGCCCCAUAGUAGAGUGCAACAAAGGACUACAUGUUCACGUGGAUAAGGCCUCUUUUAUAUGCAACUUUUUCCCGUACAAAUUAAAAAUUUAAAAGUCCUCUGAAUAAAAUUCAAUAAAGGGAAAGUGUUUUUACAGUAUUGCUAAUUGCGUGUUUCCCUUUCCGCAUUACCUAAAAAAUCGAUCCGAUAAAAAAUUAGUUUUAACGCAUUCGCUCGAAUAGUAUACAAUGAAUCGAGAGAUUGAUCUAAUAUGAAAUGAAUCAGAAUUAGUCUUAGUACCGAAAGAACAGUGCACUGCGCUCCUAAAUAUCAUCAUUAGCAUUGCACGGAGUGUAUAGGUACAUCUGAUGUACCGAACUUUCAAAAUCUUAUUAUAUGAAGGCCUCAAAUUCAGAAUCUAAUUAAUACAAGAACCUAAAUAUAAAGAAAAAUCAUGAAAAUUAAUAGUUAAAUAAAUAUGUAGAAUACACAUGGUGUAGAUGAUAAUCUCUCUCUCUCUCUCUCUCUCUCUCUCUCUCUCAUGCUGUUGAUAGGGUGGCGAAUGACACUCCCAAUUCACAAUCCAUAAUCCAUAGUAAUGAAUUAUUUGAGAGUGAUGUGGGUGGUCCCAAAGUGUCUGGUGGAGAUGGGGGACAAUGUGACAACCAAUUAACACUCCAAAGACCCCCAAACAAGUCACUUUGCUUAUUGUUGGUUCUUCUCAUCUGCCAAAGAAUCAAAUUAGGUGCAUAGAUUAGGGCUAUGCCUUUGCUUUAAUCAUCACCUUUAUUAUAGAAGAUGAUGAGCUAUGUUGCUAGGUUGUCCUAGAGGAGCGCGACUUCAUCGGAUAGCGCCUUCAGCGAGAUCUCACUGAGACGAGUACGACAGAAAAAUAUCCUGUUUGUUUUCGUACGUAAUAUUUCGUUCCGUAUGUCGCGAUGAGUCGAUUACGAUAUAUUUUCUACAGUUCAAUCGAAGAACGCAGAAACAUAUUCUUAUGUGUUUUUAUCCUAACUCUAUUUUAUCUAAUAACAUUAUAUAGAUCUCAAUACCAAACUAAACCUAAGACAGUUUGGUAAAUCACAUAAUUCAUUCCAGGUGAUCUUAUUAAGACAGUUUGGUAACUCAUGCAAUUCAUUCCGUGCUUGAGGUGCUCUAAUUUAAGUUUUUUAUUUUUUUCAUGUUGAGUCAGCAUAUUUAUAUGUUAAUAUAUUGGUAAAUAAGGUUUUUGGACAGGAUGCAUCUUUGGCCAUGAUUCUGCUUCAUUGUUGCACAAUAAGUAGAGAGUUUGGAAAGCUAAAAAGCCCUAAGUUUACACUACACAUAAGUUUAGAUGAGAUUGUGAGUCCCGAAAAGUAGGGUUUCAGGGUUUAAUUAUUGCACCUCUCCUAAUAGAACUAAGAACACCACAAAACACUUCGAUAGGACCAAAUUGGUCGUUUCCCGAAUUCAUCUGCCAAUAUCUAGUGCGCAGAUCAGUUCAGGCUCUGAGCUCGCAGAAAACUUCGAGAAUGUUUUGCCCUGAAUCCACUUUUGAGUUAAUUUGCCCAAAAUCCUGGUAAAAACCGCUAAUAUUGGAUCCAAACGGUCGGCCAUUUAGCACACAUAAUUGAAUUAGAUUGGAUAAAGAUAAGACGCAAAAUGUUAGAGACAAAAACAAGAUUCAGUUCAUGAGGUUCAGGAGUGAAUCCCGUGGGACACAACAAAACAUUUUGAAUCCAAUCCCGUCUGAUUCCAACCUCUCAGGCGUUUAUCCCCUUGUUAAGAUGAUUCUAGAGCAGUGGGUCCAGGGACCCCAGAUCGGCAUAACAUUACGAAACUUUUCCAAUGCAGAUUCUAGUAGUGAGAGAGAGAGAGAGAGAGAGGCCCUUUGGUGAGACAGGGCCAAGAGAGAUUCAACAUUACAGCACCAACUUUCACUAAAUCACUCUUUUAACUAGAUUCUAAAUGCUUAGUCUGUGUCCUUGCUGCGACAUUCAUCGUUCCGUAAUGAAAGGAUCACUCGUUUGGCAAAUGACAUAAAGCUUGCGAACUCUCGGAGGGAACCUGCAUUAAUUUAUGAUGUCUCUAAAAUAAAUAAGGGCCCCGCACUGUUCUGUAACAACUGUGUGUAUAAAAGCCGCGCUCGAAAAUCCCAACUGCUUGGGUGCCCUCGUGGCUGCCGAGUCGCCAUGCGGCGCUUGUAACUUAAGCAGCGAGAUCCACCAAAAGAGAAUGCUUAAUGAUCAUCACGAUAGUCAGGAUUCUCCUUCAAGAUGACAAACCCUUCCAGUACUGGCGUGAGCGGGAUAUAUCUGGAAAAGAUGACAAAGUUCAACACCUCAUGAAAAUAGGGGGGCGCAAGAUAGCCCACAAAACAAGUACUUGUAUCAAAAGAGGAUAUAGCGAUAACGGGUUAAAAGUCAAGGGAUAAUAUGUAGUUUUUCAAAGAAGAAUAACAUGUUCAGGGGGGUUUUCCUGCAUUCUAGCCAUGAGGAAUAGAAAGAUUUUAAGUCCAAAAAAAGAAAGCAAGCAAAGAAGAGGGUCAUAAGGUUGUGUGAUAUACUUGUCAGUGGCAAGCUCAGCCCGUUCACCCGCAGCGAGCAACACAGGGGUCGAGUGCGUCUGGAAGCCAGUUAUCGUCUUCGGUCUUCCUGCCUGACCAACCACGUCAACAGCCUGACCAACCCGCACCGGCACAGAGAGAGGCUUCAAUUUUUCAUCCACAGUCAACAUCAUCCUUGGCUACAAAUUAGAAAAAAUUGCAAAUUCAGAGAAGGGAAGAGGAAAAGAUAUAGUUCUUUUGUUAAUGAAGAAAGUAAAGAGAAUCAAAUAUGAAUACCUGCAUAGCCAAGACGAGGAUGUAAAGCAAGUAAUGAUAUUUGCCCAAGAUGACAGACUUCAUGUCAAGGCAAGCGUGUAAAAUAAUAACAAGCCCAGCAAGUGCCGUCCUAAAAUAUAACGAACAAUGUUCAGGCAUUCAAGUCGCAAUGGCGUCUGAUACUGGAAGGAGGAUGUAAAGAAAAGAGAACUCACGGGGACAGAAGGAACCGAUCAGAAUGAUAAGGCGAAAGUGUCAGCAAACCCUUUCCAAGGUGCACGAGACCCUGGGCGAUCCUCACCUGCAUAUGUCAUGUGAUCCGUGAUGAAUUUUUGAAUGCUACUUUCAAGUCGCAAUCGACAGGUAGGCGAAAAUAGAUAUAAGCAAAUAACAUGCUUACACAAAAGAGAUGGCCAGCUUCUUUGUAGUAGUAACUUGAGAGGUUACGAAGCAUGCCGGCUAUGCGAGCAUUAUUGGUACCAGCACCUAUUAAGCCCAAUGAGAUGAUUGCGGCCUGCAUCGAAACAAGUUUGACAAUCAAUAGUGCUCAAGUAAGCAAACAUAUUAACUCAUAGUGCACGAGAAAGUACCAUAGACACAUCAGCAUCUGCAUCGUGGCUCAGUCUGCUUAGGGUGUCCAUUACGUUAACCUAAUCAGAAAAAGGGGGAAAAGGAUCAAUAGAAGAAAAGUACUUUAUAAAAUUUAGUACGCUUCAGAAAAGGCCGUAUCUAAAUUUGCAGCUAGUUUCCAAAUCAGGGCACAGGUCAUCAUAAAAGUCAAGCAAAAGGUACCUUGGGAUUAGAUAUGCACAGCAUGCCAAGAGCGAGAGGGACUGCCCUUCUAAUAUUCUGCUCCCCGUACUGUAACAGACGCUCCAAUGAGCGCACGGCCAUUUCAAGACCCAAUUCUUCAGCCAUAGCAAUGAGAGCAAUUCCAAGCACAGCAGGCCCUUGGUGGGUCUCGCCCUUGUCAAGAUGUUGCGAGCAGAUGCCAAGAAGCCUCUGGACCUACAUUACAAAAGCACUUGCUGAUUACAAAAUAGUGAUAUUGUGGUAUAUGGAUUUUGCAGCUGCUCGGAGAAAAUAAGAAACCUUAAGCACAUUCCCGGUUCCAGCAUAUGCCAAAGACAUGAGGGUCACAUCGCAGUAUUUCUUAAUUUUCUCAUUGAAUGUUUUUGAGACCUCUGCAGUAGCUUCAACACUCUCCUGCAGACAAUUACCAAUAAGGAGUUUAAUUGAACAAUCAGAUGAUGACAGCCAAAAUGAGCAAAAUAAGUUGGCAAGCCCAGUUCAGAAGAAAUUUUGGACUGCGGCUUUCAGAAUAAAUCAUGAAGGGUACAACAUCAUGCAAUCUAUGUAAAUCCGGAAGCUAAAACAAGAGAAACAUAAAAGUCAAGCUAAAGAUUUGCACAAAAAAUAAAAGAAAAUGAAGUCUAAAAGGGAUAUGCAACAAGCACUAGUUCAGACACUCUUCUUAGGUAUGUAUAUGACGGCAACUAAGCUGAAAUAUAUAUAUAUAUAUAUAUAGUCCGACUAUGGUGCUUGUAAAAGCACCAAGCAGUACGUGCUUGUAAGCUUUUCGCCGUUAGAUCUACCCCUUUGAUAUUUCCACCCAUUAGCCACUCACUAAAAACCCUAGGGACCACUAUUAUCCUAACCGCACAUCCCUUAAUCCAAUGGCCAAAAACUUACAAGCACUAAUGACUAGGUAAUUUUUACAAGCAUAGGAGCCCAAUUCUACACACACACACACACACACAAAUAUAUAUAUGGUUAGUAUUACACGAAAUUGGCUAAAGUAAUGACACAGAAUUUCAUAACGAAUAUGAAAAUACCUGCUUUCCAAGAUAUAAAAGGCCAAGGGCCACAGGAAGAAGGCGAGUAAGGGGCUCGCCCAGCUCAGUGUCACUUCGGUCCAUCAAGGCAAAAAUAAUGGAUUGAGCAAUCUCUUCACUGCAAGACCCAACAUAUACUAGGCCCAAGGAAAGAGCAGAAAAUACAAGGAGUUCAAGAGGUGUUUUUGGGUCUCCCAAGAACUGUGAUAGGCGAGAUCUAACCUGGAAGUUGAGACAACACAUCAGUUAAAAUCAGAUAAAAUUAGGGCCAAAUAAUAAUAGUUGUAAGUAAGAAAAAAGGAAAAGGAAAUUAGACCUCCUCUUUAUGUGAACCGGCAUAUGCAAUGCCAAGGCCAAGGAUUGCUCCAAUUCGGAUAAUGGUAUCUUCUUUGUUAAUGUAGUCAAUAAGAACAGCCAAUGCCUAGAGGUAAACAAAGAAUGUUAUUCAUAAAAUAUCAUCGUCAAUUGUUGCAGAUUAUCACAUAAGUCAGAAGAAGAAAAACUUACAGGGUCACAAUCGUUCUUUAUACCACAGUUGACAAUUCCAACACCUAACAGAGCUCCAGCAACGACAUGAUUAUCAGUACUGUGCAAAUACUUGUCAAUUUGGGCAAGCCCAGAGUCCACAUCCCAUAACAGAAUCAUUCCCUACAAUCAAGGAGUAAGGUCUUAUUCUCGAGAAAUGUAAGGGAAAAAUAUAUCUUCGUGAGAGGCAUGAAUGUGAACUAUACCAGGCUAGCAGCUGCACUGGCUUUACCAUGCUCCUUGUUCUUGAAUAGCCAACUCCCUGAAGACCCACCAGUAGAAGAUUCUGAUAGGACGGUCAUCAACUUGUCCUGAAAUAAUAACAGCAAAAUUUUGAACUCCCAGAAAUAUUCACAAUCAAAGUCAUAAUGAACUCAAAAAAAAAAAAAAAAAAGUUAUCUAGUACCUACCUGACCAAAUCCAGCAUUAACAAAUGCAUUAACAAAUGUCGCUGCCAGAUUCUGUCGAGCUGAAUCAAGACUAGAACUUGCACUGGCCCGGCCAUCAAUCAGAUGUACCUAACAAAAGAAAAGAAUAAUAACUGAGCUCACUAUACAAAGCAAUGCAUGUUUGUGUUGAUUGCUAGUUUCUACGAGCUAUGCAACCUUUUCUCUUCCAGCAAACAUUUGAGAGUGCAUUUGUCAGUUGAAUAUUGCAUGACAUAAAUAGAAAUAAAAAAUAAAUAUGAUAAUUUGCGAGAGUUUUGUAACAUUUAGUACGUAACUGUGAGCUUGAAGUAAAGAAAAACAGUAGCACAAAAUAGAGGCAUGCUGUAAAAAAGUAAAUUGCAAAUGAUAAACAUUUAAAUAAACAGAUGCCGCAAGUCUAAAGAGAUUCACAGUGCACUCCCUCGUGGAAUUCAUAAUCUAUGAAGAGUUGCCACUAAUAAAAAGCAAAAUAUGAAGAGGAGCAAGCUCUCAAAGAUCACAAAUAAAGGUCAAAUUCAUAAACCAUCCAGCAAAGCCCUCUAUGCUGCUUGAAAACAGUUAGGCAAUUGAACUAAUAUGAGCACCUUAUAGAUAUCUUCCGGAGACUUGGGUUCCAUGACCUCAAUAUCACGUGCCAGCGUAAGGUAUCCUUCACUUAAUUUAGCAUUGUUAACAAUGUCCUGCAAAGCUUCCCGAUCACUCUCAUCUGCGACUAUGUCAUCAUCAAGUUCUAAAGCUAAACCCUGUGUCCCAAACAAGGAGUAGAUCAGUCAAACAAGUAAUUGAAUUAAUUCCAGCUGAAUAACAGUUGGCACCGGAAAAAGCCUAAAUGUACAAGAUUAACAGACCAAUAUUCCUAAUAAAAUGUAUUAUAAUGUGGUAGACUUCAUACAACACGAGGACAAGCAUUAUAUUAAAAAUCCAACUAACUGUAAUUUAAUCAGAGAAAAGAGGCCUUCACUAUAGACAUUUUACGAUGAACAAGGCAUUUCUUACAUGGCGUGCUAUUAUAUACGAAAAUUGCUUCUUCAACAGCAAAUCCUCAGUUGAUGUGUACACCUGCUUCACAUACUGUUUUGGACACAAAUAUAGUGUGAAUGAAUGGAGUUACAUAUAACCUUGGAUUAUUAAGAAUAGAAUAAAGAUAUGGCCAUUGAAAUGCUUUGAAGCCAAACCUGAAUGUUGUCAAGAUAUAGAGCAAUACGCAGAGCACUUGCUAGAUCUUCAAAUUUGAUAUAAAUGGUAUAAGCAAUGUCUAAUGCUAAUAUGUCAUCAGGGCUUGGUAGGUAGCUGCAAUAAGUAGAUAGUCAGAAAUUGAAACCAACACUCUUACAGCAGUUUUAACUUCAUAAUCACACUGCUGGAUUCCUUCUAACUAUACUAAAAGAAAUCAUAUUAUAGUCCUCUCUUCAUGUUUUAGAAUCUUCAUUUGAGAUACUAUCUGCAACUGACAAUGUGUUAAUAUUUUGAAGCAGACCAAUAUACAAAUAGCAAAAAAUAUAUAGUAAAGAAAGUAUAUAGUAAAGAAGUUUAGAUACUGGCUACAUGGUAUAAUUAAGAAGAUACCCCACUUACACCUGCAGUGUAGUCAGAAAUGAUUUCUAGCAACAGUGCUACCAAGAAAUUAAAAUUGCGAACACUAAGGGAUCAUUUGGUACCAGUUAGAAUUUUUUUUUUUUUUAAAGAAAACCUCAAAGUCCAUGCAGUUGGAUAUGCCAACAAAUGGCAGGUUGUUUGCAGUCUAUACGUCAAUGAAGAUUGUUUGGUAAAGACAAACAAAACUUUUAGUGACUGUUUUCCCUUUCUUGUUUGUUUGGGAAAGAUGAGUUUGGAAACUAACAACCAAUAACAAGAAUGAAAAAGUCCAUCCACAAGCACAUUCAAUCACAUGGAAUUUGAGUUUAAAAAAUAAUUGGUACCUGACAAAUGUUAAAAUUUCAUUUAUUUGUAGUAAGCAGAUAAUUUGCAUACCUAGACGAACUAGUAAGAUACAAGCAUGCCCUUUUGUAAUUUGUAGCAUCGACAUACUCCACUAGUAAAUCCAGAUCUUCAACCUGGAUGACAAAAAAGAAAAAAGAAAAAAGAACUUUAUAUAUGAAACUAAACAGAAAAACAUUAAGAGAAAAUGUUUGUUGUACCUCCAUCAGAAGGUCCACAGCCUCUGGCUCAGCAUUAUGCUGCAUCAAAAUAAAAAUAUAUUAGUUAACAACAAAUAAGAAUCAACAAGUUAAAUAGUCGUGCUACACUAGAGCAAAGAGGGUAAAGAUUUUCAGAUUUAACUAUUGAAUCUACCUUCAUGUGAAAAGCAACAAUUUGCUGUACUAGUUCCAUCAAAGCAUCAAUAGGCAUGUCGUCAUACUACAUAAAAGAGAAAAAAAUCAGCACAAAAAAGCUUGAAUAUUAUAAGAAAAGGUCUUAUGCCAAAUUAACGGCAAUAACCUAUUGAUAACAAUAGAAUAGAAAAGGAAUCAUGCAAAGAUUAGUAAUGAAUGAGUAGUGAAUAGACAUGCAAAUAAUUAACCAGGUCAUUACAGACAGAAGGAUUAUUCUAUUACUGUAGCCAAAACAAAUCUAAGAAAAGGCAAAGACUUGGUUUUACCUGGCGCUUUUGAAACUCUUGUGCUAUUUCGCCAGCCAGGUUUCUGAUAUUCAAAAUAACAUUCAAGUAAACAAACCAUCAUAUUAGCAUAAUUUUACAACAAAAAAACAUUCACAGUGGUAGAAUAAGAUCAAAUUCUUAAUCCAAGAAUGAUUAUGAUAACCAAUGAAAGCUUUCAUUAGCUUGCAGCUAACAUUAGAAACUACAUCUAAAGAUAUAGACAAAAAGGAGGACUCAAUUUGAGAAUUACCGGGAGUAAAGAAAACUAUGAUAAAACAUAAAAAGCACAGAACACUAAAUACAAUCAGUUUUUACAUUCACGAUAGAAAUUACGCAAAUCAUAGUCAUAUUUGAUCCACCAAAAUAACAACUCAAUCAUCAAAACUAUGUCAUAUGGAACUCUUAUUCGGAAAGAAAUCAUUGAACAUGAUUUUCCUUAUCAUAUGACCGACAAAAACAUCUAUGUGAGAAGUACUUGAAUCAAUUGAGACUCUCUAAGUAAUAUAAAAUUUAAGGAUAAAGAAUAUCCAAAAACCCAAGAUACCUAGAAUAGAUAAAUAAACUUUUGUCAAUUCCAAAUAAUACUAUAUGUUAGCUUGAACAAAUAUUAAGAUAAAAUAGAAAUAGAUUAGGCCUGACCUACAUUAUAACGAUAUAAUUUAGCAUACAUUAAGACUACUACCACAGUGCAAUAUUCAAGCAUCCUAUAUCUAAAAAUUCACAUACAUUUGCAAUUCAAGUUUUAUCCAUGAUAAGUUCAUUGAACGUGACUGAAUAAAAUUAUUCACAAUAAACCAGCAAUAAAAGUUGAACAUGAAUAGAUAAUAUUAUAGCAAGCACCAUAACUAGUUAGCUCUAUUCUGUACCUGACAUAUUCAUGACCCCAUGAACCAAUAUCUCCCUCAGAACCCAACAAUCUGUACUUCAGGCUCUCCUGGGUAAUACCAAGUAGGAAACGUCAAAACAAGAAAAUCACAAAAACAUUGCACAAUCAAGGCAUGUCAAUCAAAAUAUACAACAAAUUGAAUAUAGAAAGGCCAACACAUAUAAUCAUUACAACAUCAGAGACAAGCUUUCAUAUCAAUUGAGAACAAUGUAUCGGAAUAAUAAAAAGAAUAGUAGAAACCUGCAAGAAUGAUGAAUUUGCAAUAUAAAUUCCUGUUUAUACAUAAAUAUUAAAGAACUUUAUUGACAUGUAUCAUGCCUAAUUAAGAUCUCAUGUACCAACAGUAUAUCGAAUUUUGCAUUGUCCGUGCAGAGAAUUAUCAUGCAAGACACAAAAGUGGCAAUAACAAAUAAUCCACUUUAGAAGAAUCGAUUUAUGUUGCAUGGGCCUGAAAUGAGAGACACACAUCAUAGUGCCCGGAAUAAGGCAAUACAUGUUCUCCCUCCAAAUGGUGUUGUAUUCAAUGUUUGUGAAACAGCUAUUUCUCCCAAAGUUUCUACCAUAAAUUGUCGGAACUGAGUUCACACUACACAAUAGUGUUGUAGUAUUUCUUCACAACCUACUGUCGAUGGAGUAUGGACUAAAGAAUAAUACAAACAAUUAGAUUUGUUGAUUCUGAUUUUGUUAUUUAUUAGGAUGGCACUCGUAGUGACUAAGGGGGUUGCACAAAGAGUUGAGCAAACUUCAUAGCAUGUCUCACUUAAUGAAUCACAGAUUGAUCUUUGAGGCCAUAGAACUUAUGCAGUUCCUUGCCCAGAGGUUAUUUCUAGUCAGCAAUAGAGUGAUAAUUGGUUCACCACAUUUGAUGGCUAUUAUGUUCAUAUUCCAGUGGAAAAUAGCACCAAAUAAUUGAAUAGUAUCUUCAAAAAAAUUGCUCUUUCUUUCACUUCAUGUCUUGUUUUUUGUUGAUUUAAUCCUAAAUAAUUAUUCUCUGAUAGACAUUUCUAGAUACAUUCCAUAAAACCACAUAUCUCCUAAAUUCUGCAUUAAUAUUACACAGUGCCUUGACCACUAGAUACCAAACAUGAAUUGCAAGAACCAACAACUGACUAAGCAGUACUAACUUUCAAAAUUUUGGAAACAUAGAUCAGUAAACAAAAAAAAAAAAAAAAAAAAAAAAACACAAGAAGUGAAACUCAAACAAAUUAACAUACCCUUUCCCCUUCUGCAGACAUUGUCAGGGCCAACACAGAUAGUAUGUCUGCUAGGUACUUCUGCAAAAUUUGUUAACCAGCCAAAGCAAUUAGCACAUAAUCGACGUGAGCAUCACACAGCAAUCAAAAAUAUUACGAUCCAUACCUUCAAAUCCGACUCAGGCAUUUUCUCAAAAUACUCCUUCAGGGUUCCAUAAUGUGGUCGGAGGAACUUUAGAGGCUUCGGAACAGAAGUCAUUGAGCUAGUAGCUGUACGAAUCUCCUGCCUAUAUAUACAAUCAAAUGACUCAAAUUUCUUGCUGCAAUAUCGCAGCACAAAAGAUCCAAAUUUUCACAUGAACCAUAUCACUAAAGAAAACACAAAUAUUAAAAACCUAAAGAUCAAAGAGAUGAAGCAUCGAAAUGAAUACAUCACGCUCUCUACAUAUGUCUAACAUUGCAUACGAAUCCUAUCAUUAUAACGCAGCAUAAAAUGAAACAACGCAUAUAGUAAACCCUAGAAAUCGAGUACCUCAUGCUCUCAAGAGCAAGCUUCUGAACGCCGGGAUCCGAGUCCUGGACCCUCUCAACAUAGAGCUCCAGCUGCUGUUUCAACGCCAAAUCCUCAUCCGACUACAAUUUCGCACCCAAAUCAUCUCAAAAUCAGCGACAACAACACAGCAAAAUUCCGGAUCAAAGCAAAGGGAGAUCGAGAUCGAGAUCGAGCGAGGGGAAAGGGAGACGACGUAAUCACCAGAUCCUCGUCCUUCUUCUCAUCCUUCUUCUUCUUGUGCUCCUUGGACGGGGGCUGCUUCUGAGGGGCCUGCUCCGGUCCAGCGGAGCCGCUAGGGUUUUUGUCGGCGGCCAUCGCGGCGGCGAAGCAGUUCUCCGGCGAAGGGCGCAGGUGGGGGAAAGAGGAGGUGUCGCUCUNGUGGUAAUUCGGGGCGUGAUAGUGGUGGCGGUGAAGUUCUCUAGCGAAAGGUAGAGGUGGGAAAAAAAGAGGAGGUGUCGCUCUCUCUCUCUCUCUCUCUCUCUCUCUCUCUCUCUGACUAGGGUUUCGAGGAGGGAGACGACGAAGCGUUGGAGCGAUUUCAAAGAACCGCACUAUGCGCUAGUUCUAUCGCACGAGCCCGAAAGAGUGCCUUGCUUGUUGUGAAAGAAACAAAGGGUUACUACUUACUGUGUCACUUUUACAGUUAAGUCCCUAGACUUAAAUUUUAUUAAACGCAAGUCCUUUAGGUAAACGUUUACGAUCGGGAGUUAGGCCUAGGCCUUAGAUUUACCCAUUCCCUCUAAUAAUUUGAAAAACAAAUUUAAAAAAUAUUUUAAGCUUUAAAACUUUUGUCUAAAUAAUUAUUAACAUUUUAAAGAUUUAUAAAAAAAAUUUAAAUUUUUUCCAAAUAAUAUUAAAAUUUUGUCCAAAUAAUUUUUUAAACUUUUUGAAUUUUUUAUAAUUUUAGAUAUUAUUAAUUUUUUAAUCAUAAUACCUCCCUACUAGUUGUACAAAACUUUAGUAAAUAUUUUGAAUUUUUUAAAUUUUUUAAAAUAAAAUUUAUAAACCUCAACUAAAAGUCAGGAAAAAUAAAAUAAAAAAAAUUAUUGGGCCGGGUAGGCUCGGUACGGGUCAGCUCGAACCCGGAUAAAUCCGAUCCGAAAUUAAAAUCGCCCGCCCCACUACGCUCCACCUAUAUAAAGGAGCGACUCCAUGAUGAGCGCUCGCCCCUUUUCUUCUCGCCCUUUUCCUCGUCUUUGUGCGAUUAGGGUUUGCUUCGUCUCUUCGUCCUCCUCGUGCAUCCGCUUCUUCGUCAACCAUGUCGUCCAAGCAAGGUCCUCUCACCCUCUCUCUGUCCCUCUCCUUCUCUCUCUCGAUCUCUAUCUCUCUCUUUGAGGCUCAAAUUUUGUGUUUUUGGGGUUUAGGUGGAAAGUUGAAGCCCUUGAAGCAAGCUAAGGCUGAUAAGAAGGAAUACGAUGAGGUAUAUAGGCUAUGGUGGUCUGAUCCUUGUUGUCGUUUUGAUUUGGUCCUUUAAUUGGAUGGAUCUGUUGUGGUUUUUGCUGUUCUUAGAGUAUUGAUUUUGAUUAUUUCGCGAUCGGUACCAAAUUGGCUUGAUGAUGCGAAAUUGGGGUUCGUUUGGUUAACGUAGAUAUCAAUUUAAUCACGAGAAAUAUUGUGAUCUGUCCUUUUUAUGCAUCAUGUAGUUGAGGUUUCUAUUGGUAUGAAAGUUAUUGUCUUUGUUCCUCUUUUUUACGGGUCCUUUUUUUUGAUGAUCCGAAAUUAGGGUUCCUUUACUUUAUCUAGAUAUUGUUUUGAUGGCGAGACUUUGUGAUCUGUUCCUUUUUUGGCAUAAUUUAGUGAGGUUUCUAUUGUUAUGUAAGUUAUUGUUUGUAUUCUUUUUUUUUCCCACUCCCUCUUUGGUUUGAUGAUCCAAAACUGGUGAUCCUUUAUUUUACAUAGACACUGAUUGCGAGAUUUUGUGAUUAUCUCUUUUUUUUGUGUUAUUGGCUGAUUGUUGUUUGCAUAAUUUGGUUGAGAUUUUCAUUAUCAUGAAUAUUUGUUGCCUUUCUUGCGUUUUGAUGCUGAAAUAUUGAAGACAUGAUGUCAUGAUGAUAUGGGCUCUUGUGAUGAUUGAUGUUGGAGUGCUAAGGGAUGAUGUUCAUAUCGACAAUGAUAACAUAAGCGAAUCUUAAUUUUCGUUGGUGAUAGAAUAGAAAAAAAAAAAAUCCAAUCUGAAUCUUAGGUCAAUUAUUGAUGUUGAUUGGCUUUAUGAGAAUUUGAAGAGCUUGGUAAUUUGUGAGUUGUAUUAGUUUUAUUCUGUACAAAAGAGGAGACAGUUUGGAAAUUGGCAUGCAGAGUGAAGACCGAAACUUAUGCGUGAUCAAAAGGACAGGUUCUAAUGUACGAAUCUUUUGCAAAAAAUAAGGUUUCUUGGGUGUCGGUUUUGGUUUUGAUCUGCACUCUAUAAUUUCAGCUUCUACAGUUUUGAAAGUUUCAAACUUUGGCUUUUAACUAUUUGUAUAGGAACUUGCUAAAUUAUCUCAACAUUUUUAUAUAUGAAAGUUGGAGUUUUAUGUUACUACUAUGAUUAUCUUUUGUGUUGUCAUUUAUUAAAGAGAUCAAAAUAUGGUAAGAGAGGUAAUAUAAAUAUCCGUAUGUGAAUCAAUUUAACCUUAGAAGAAGAUUGAUGCUCUAAGUUUGGAUGAAUGUUUGGAGUUUGCAAGGUAUGGAACAAGAAGAAAAAUUUGUAGUUCUGAAGGGAAGAAGAUCUAAGUUUGGGUGAUUGUUUGGAGUUCUACUGAUUUUGGAGAUGAUCCCAUUAUAGACAUUGUACUGAAAAAGAAGAUCUAAGUUUGGAUGAAUGUUCGGAUAAAUGUUUGGAGCUCUACUGAUUUUAGAGAUGAUCUCAUUAUUAGACAUCAUGCUGAAAAAGAUAGGUGGAAGAAACAGAGUUACUCAAGUCAUACCAAUAUGACAAAGGAAAAAUUAGGGAAUGCUUCUCUUCAUGUGCAUCUUUAUCCGUUAUUGUUUCUUACCUUUUGUCCUUGUUUGAAUAGUUUGGAUAGUGAGGUUGAUUUUGAGUGAAUAGAGAACCAACGCUCAUAGUUGGUUGCAGCGCGGACAAGAGAAAAGAGCAUAGUUAGUUAAUUCGGAUUCGGCAAAAAUUCGGUACGGAUAUAAUUCGGAUAAAAUUCGUCUUCUACUUUUUAAAUUCGUUGAAAAAUACGGCUAAAAAACGGAUUCGUCAAUUAUUCGGAUACGUGAUUUAUACGGAUAUUAUAUGUUCACCAAUUAAAAAUCCGGGAUCAAAAAUUCGGCUAUAUAAUUAAUAUAUUAUAUAUAUUAUUAUUAUAAUUUUUAUAUUAUAGAUUAAAUAUAUUUAAAAUUAUAAUAAACAUAUAUUAAUAAUAUAUAAGAAUUAUAUAUUUAGAAAUAUUAAUAAAUAAUUACAAAUUUAUAAAUAAAAUAUUAUAUAAUAAUAUUUCUAUAUAAAAAUAAAAUACUAUAUAUAAUAAAUAAAUAUAUAUUUAUUAAAUAAAAUUAUAUAUAUAUAUAUAUAUAUAUAUUGAGAGGGAGGUCCACAGUGGACCUCCCUCUCAUGCGGUCCACGAGGCUGCUUCGGCCUCAUGGACCGCGCGCAAUCAAGGCUUCUAACGCCGCGCCUUUUUUAGUUUUCGAUCCGCGGCGACCACCGCCACGGGCGAGACGGGUCGCGCGGUGCUCCCGACGCCGGCCAGGGCGGCGGAGGAGGAGGACGACGACGACGAGAGCGGCGACGAGUUCGGCGACGAGAGCGGCGACGACGCGAGUCCGCCGCGAGCGAGCGCCCUUUUUUUGGCUGAAUUAUUCGCGAAUCGCGAAUAAUUCGUGAAUAAUUAUUUUUCCCCCAAAAAUUCGUUUUUUUCCGAACUUUUCUGAAAAAUACUUAUUCGGCUGUUUAAUUCGUUUUCUCAAAAAUUCGCGAAUAAUUCGCGAAUAAUUCGCAAAUUAACUAACUAGGGAAAAGAGUUGAGUUAAACAAAAUUUAAGUGAUUUUAUUUGUUAUUCUGAUGGUAGUGCUAAUGUUGUAUAUGUCUUCUUGUUUUUUUUAAGGAAAUGAAUAAAAGAGGAUAAGUAUUUGAAAUUUUGUAUGUUCUUGUCAAAAAAGAGAAAGAGAAUAUAUGGCCUCCAUGACAAAAUUUUUGUCCAAAAUGGUUUAAAUCUAUCAUGUCUUUGCUCGAAUAUUAAAGCUUCUUUAUAGUUGUGUAUAAGUGCUUCUUUUGCUCUACUACUCUGCUUAGAGACAAAAGUCUAGAUAGUUUUAAUCUUCUCUGGAUACAUAUUGUUUAUUGGAUCGUGUUGUCGAUGAUCAACACUUGUUUCAUUGGAAAAUACUUCAUGGAGUUCUUCUUUCCUUUUCCUUAAAUUGGCACUCUUGGAUUUUAGGAAAUAGGUAAAACCCUUUUUUUUGUGGGGAAUUGAUCUUAGUGACGCGUGUAUAAUGAUAGUGGGCUAGACUGAUUUUGGGAGUGGAGAAUAAGAGGGCAAAAGGAGCUAUAAAAUACACACUAUGUUUUUUAUUUCCGCUGUGGAACUAUUUCAGUUAGAAUUUGUUGCAGUGGUAUUUUAAAAUUCUUUCUCACUACUUUUGUCAACGAGGAGAAGAAAAGAGGUAGGGGUUAAUGGAGUCUUUUUAUGCUUAUUACUAAUAAUAGGAGAGAUAUUGCAUAUUAAUUGAUUAGAUUAACUUGAAAUUUAUUUUUAGCAACUGGCACUUUUAUUCAUUCGUGUAGGCGACUUGAGUAAAUUAUUGAAGGUUUAGACUAAACAGAUGACAUUAGACGGAGGAAAACAAAGGAUGUUAUAGAUGAGAAGAGGGAAAACAGGGUUGUAGAAAUAAGAUUGUUCGGACCUUGACUCAAAGUCCUCUCUGGCGACCAAUCAAGGAUAGUCAUUCACGCAUUCCUCCACGCCGUACUGCUUGUUUAAUUUGCCUUGUCUAAUCUCAUGAUCAAUCUUUGGACUGAAUAAUUGUAAUUAGGGUUUAAGUGCAAAAGUAGGGGACAAUAUUGCUUUACUCAUGUGAAACGUCCUCAUUUCAAAUUUAACAUCCUCGAGAUAUAAGUGGCAUGUGUUCUUUAUGUGAAUUGGGCUCAUUUUGCAUUCUGGAUCCUUCAUCGUCUGAGUCCCCUUUCACUUCUAAUCUGCCAUCUGCAUGGCCUUAUUCCAACAAAUUCUGUUGGCCGCAUGUUAACCAUCAGAGGCCUUAUUACAAGUAAGCCAUAGCUGAUUACCCAUUGUUGCUUCCGUCCUACGAAAAAGGGGAGCGUGAAGGAACCUUUGAAAUAGUGAAAUGAAGUAGCAAGGAAGACAUCCUCGCUUUAUCUGACACUUUGUACCAUUCUGAACUUCAGCAUUAUUCACCUUGAACUUUCCAUUGAUACAUCUUUAAAAUGUCUUAAAUUCCAGUGAAAUGGUCACAUUUUGCAAUUUCUAGGUUGCAGUGCUUUUCACUAGUACACACUCAAUUUAAUGUCUGUUGUAUUAAAAUCUUGGAUGAAUUCUUGUAAUUGGCGCUCGCUGCUUUUUGCCUCUAUCAUCUUGCUAGGCAAUUUAUUGGUGUACGUCAAUGUUGUAUAAUUUGUUUGAAAUAUUAAAUUUUGAAAUGCAUGCUUAUUUUGUUUAUUUUCUUCCAUUCGCCUGAUUUCGAUCUGUGUGAAUAAAUUAGGUGACAUUUUAUAAGGGUUUGAAAGGAUUUAACUUCUCAAGUAAAAUCUGUUUGGUGAAUAUGUUAAGCUUAAUCUUUUCAAGCUUGGUUGUCAUGUUGCUGUCAUAAAGACUUCUUGGUUAAAUGUGGUUAAUGCAAAAAUGUAGGUUAUACUGCAGAUGUACUUUUUGUUUUGUGCGAAGCAAUUUGAUUGUUUUGUUGGUUUGUCGUUUCAGUUUUCACAUGAACAUAUUUUUUCCUCAUCUGAAACUGAUUGAUUUAUUUGUUUGGCGGACAUUAUGGGUUUCUGUUUUCACAUGGAUAUCGAUUCAUAUUAUUCACUCCCUUUUUUUUGUGUUGCUGUAGACGGAUCUAGCAAACAUCCAGAAGAAGAAAGAUGAGGAGAAGGUGAGAACAGCAACUUAUUGAACACACCAUUGUUCCUCUCUCCUUUCUUUCCUUGGGUUAAUUAUUUCCAUGAGGAGUAAAUAGUGACAGCAAAUUUGAAAGUCAUAACUUUCUUCUGCAAACAGGCUUUGAAGGAGCUGAGGGCCAAGGCUUCGCAGAAGGGAAGCUUUGGAGGUGCAGGCCUUAAGAAGAGUGGGAAGAAAUAAGAAAGACAAGCGUACUCCCUCUCUCUCUCUCUCUCUCUCUCUUUCGCGCACUCUCUAUCUCUUGUAAUAGUAAAUCAAUGACUUAGAUCUGGGGUUUAUCAUCGCUAUUGCAUGUUAGCUCUAUGAUUGGAAGACAACUACUGGCAUCGCAGGUGUGAUCAUUUUCUGUAUCUGCCGGUUUUCAGGAGUUUGGUACACUCCCUAUCUAUUAAGUUUCUGGUAUAUCCUGUGGUCUCUUUGUUUCUUCCAUUUAAGCGUGUUUGUUUCAAAGCGAAAUAAUUGCCUCAUGUAGCGUCAUCUCGACAUGAGCCGUACUAAUAGUUGGUGAUUAUUACUUUCUUGUUUGUGGAUGGUAAGGUUGCUGUUAAUUCGAGCUUGUUGUUACUCCCUACUUUGCAUCUCUUUUCUUAACCUUCUAACUUCCUGGGGCGUUUUAGGAUGGGUUUGUAGAUUGGAUGGAAUAAGUCAAGAGAGCAAUGUCUGGGUAAGGAAUUUUUAUCGAUUUCGUCCUCUUUUGACUUUUGAUGUCUCUGAGUUGCUCUGUUUUUUUUUUUCUCCUAAUCGUAUCAAAUUCAAUUUCCGGUUCGAUCGAAAUCCUAUACUGGAGCUUGGUCUUUCUCUCGUGUUAAUUAACAGUAAGGGCGUGGUUGGUUUGCCCUUUUUUAUUUUGGAAUCGGAAUCGGAAUGGAUAAAUUCAUGUUUGGUAUGUUAGAUUUUCAUUUCGAUUUUGAUUUUCGGGUGAAUAAAAAUUUCUCCAAUUAUUUUUUCUAAAUCUGGCCUGGAGGCUGAAUUGAAAAUUGAAUCCGUCAAUCCGGACGGAAUGAAUUUGUUUAGAUUAAAUUUAAUUUUUAAAAUUUAUUUUUUUAAUUAAAAUGUAAGUUUAGGUUUAAAAAUUAUAUUUAUAAAUUUAAUUCUAAUUUGAACUUAUAUUAAAAAUUAAAAUUCAAUCAAGUAUUUGAAUUUAAAUGUAAAUUUAAUUUAAAAUCUAAAGUUUUAUUUAAAUUUUUAUUUAAAAAUUUAAACUAAAUUUAUGGAUUCAAAUUGAAAUUUAAAUUAUAAUUUUAAGUUUGAAUUUGAAUAAAUAAAAAUAUAGUUUUAUGUUUUGAAUUACUCGUUCAAUUUAAAAUUUUAAUUUUUUGAAAAAAUAUAUUUAAAAUUAUGACAUUAUUUUAAAAUUAUGAUAGAGAUUUUUUAGUAUUUAAUUUUUAGUUUGAAUUUAGACUAAUAUAUUAUAAAGAUAAAAUUGAUAUAUUAAUUUAAUUAUAUUUUGUAUAUCUAUCUAAAUCAAAUACCGAUAAUAAAAAUAAUUUAUUUCUAUUCCGAUUCAGAUGGCAAACUAAAUAGAAUGAGAUAAUAAAUAAUUUAGAUUUCGUUUUAAGCUUAUUUUUAUUCUGAUACCGUCCAACCAAGCAAAGCUUAAAAGUCGUCGGAAAAUAGGGCAUGUUUUAGUUGUCGGAGCUUUUUUGUUUAACUUUGAACACCCAAGUCUUAGUAGUUUGUCACUUUGUUUAAUUUCUGACCUUUUGUGGAAGCCAAAUGAAGAAACUUCCGACCGGAGCUUCUGACGCCCCCGUUUGUUGAAGCUUCAUACUUGUUGCCACUGCUGUCGCAAUAAUUUUAUAAUUUAAUAUGCUGCACUGAGUAACAACCAACUAUUCUAUGCAGUGGUUAUUUAUCAAUUUAUCAGUUUUUAAUAAUAAUAUUGUUUAACUGGUUUUUGAUUAUGAAUAAGUAAUUCUCAUCGUAUUGUCACUUCAAAAUUUGAUAAUUUGAUCUCUCUAGAGGCAAAAGGAAAAAAAAAAAAAAAAAAAAAAAAAAGAGUUCGCAAACUCUUUGGAAGAAUAAUUUGUCCAAGGUAGCUACAUUUUCAGCCUAUUUUUGUCACUGUCUGUUCAAAAGUGUGAGGGGAAAAAUACUUCCUUUUUUUUUGUCUGAAGUGGUAAUAUAUUUCAUAGAUUACCCUGAUUGGGUCAAAACAUAAGCCUAGUCUAAUUGAAGAACGAAAAAGAAUAUUCUUAUAUUGACCUUUGAAUAUUGAAUAUUAUACGGUCCGUAAUGGAGCUGUGCCUAAUUUUUAAUCUAGAUCUGAAGAGCUAAACGCACCACUUAUUCUGGAAGACCCAAAGUAUUUAAAAAUAUUUUUAAUCUUUCGCCCUUAAAUGUUAUGAAAAAAAGAAAAUUUCAAAUACCUCCUAUGUGGUUUUGCACUUUUUUACUUUAAUAUCUUGUGGUUUAAAGUGUAUCAAGUUAGUACCCUGCGGUUUCGCACUUUCUCAUUUUAGUAUCAUGUAGUUUCAAGUGUAUCAAGUUAGUACCUUAUGAUUUUAUUUUUACAUCAAGUUAGUAUCACAUGGUUUCAAUUUUUUCUUUUUAUUAUUCAUUUCGGAAUAUAUAAUUUAAAAAAAUUUGAAACCAUAUGGUACUAAAGUGAGAAAGUGCGAAACCACAUGGUACUAACUUGAUACACUUGAAACGACAGGGUACUAAAGUGAGAAAGUGCGAAACCACAGGGUACUAACUUGAUAGACUUUAAACCACAGGGUACUAAAGUGAGAAAGUGCAAAACCACGGGGGUAUUGGAAGUUUAUCCUAAAAAAAUUAUAUAUUUUUAAUUAUCAUAAUUUUAUAACAUAAAAAAAUCAAAAUUGCUUUUUUUAUAAAGCAUGAAAAAAAAAUACUAUUUUUAGUCACCUUGUUAUCAAACAUAGUCUAAAUCUAUGCAAACAGAAAUUUUCGUUUUACUUGAAGCAAAAUCAUUUUAUUAUUGUUAUACUUAAUCAAUGCGACAUUAAAGUGGUGUACCCAAAAACCUGUAGCGCCACAGUCCUUCACAGUCCUUUUUGCUUUAAAACCACCACCAUAAUAUAUCUGUGAGUUCAAUUCCAGGUGCUUUCCAGGUGCGUUCCCUCGGAAAAGUUUAAAAAAAUAAUAAUAAAAUGACUAAAUAGUACCUCUACCUUUGUGAUAUUACAAACUAGGUUCUUAUCAUUUUUAGACUCUAUUUGGUGUCAGAAUAAUUUAUUCAAUAAUAACUUAUUGAAUUUGAAAGUAUUUUUAUGUGAUUAGAUAUAAACGGUUUGAUUUUGCUCAUUAAGAGAUUUUAGUAUCCAUGAUUAAAUAGGACGUCGUUAUUUUACCUAGGAGAUAUUUUUUUAUACUGUAAAAAUAAUUUAUAAGCCAAAUAUAGUAUGUCAGAUCAUUGGCGCUAACUAUUAAUUUUAAAAACUCGAACGGUUAGAAAUACGCAACUAAUUCACUUAAAGCGUACAGAUACAGCGCCUACUGGUAUCGAUUGUGAUUCAGCCCAACCAGCCUCACACCGGCACACCUAGUCUCACACCAUUUGAAACAUGACUCAGUCCAACAUGACCUCCCGCCACAAAACAGAAUGACAAUCCAUUUAAGUCAACAUAGUACACAUUCUCGACAAUCAUGUUUUGCAUAAAAUACUUAGGUGUAACAUUGACACGAAUAUAACUAUCUAAUCCUUGAAUAUUCCUUGGCGACCAUUUAUACGAAACAGCCUUUGAAUAAAAAAAAUCUGAAAUGAUUAUUUUAUAAAAAAUAUAUAUUUUUGCAAACAGAAAUGUUUUGAUCUUUCAUUUAUUAAUCAUAUAUAUGAUGAUUUGCAUCUAAACAUUGACACUUAUGAUGUAGACGCUUAAUUGAUUUGUGUAUGCAAAAUAAUAAAAUAUCUCUGGUCGUCCCAACCAAAGUCUCAUGCUAUUCUUUCACUCAUAAAAAUUUAUUACAAAAUAUAUAUACAUGUAUAUUGCGAAAACCAAAGUCUCAUCGCAUGCACCAAAGCAAGUACGAGAGAGAGUUUUAGAGAGAGAAAGAGGGACAAUGGGCGCCCGUUGUAGCUCUCGCCAAUUGUUUGGGACCCCCUCGUUAGCUCCUAUGCUUUUAAUUUUAUAUCUUUCUCUUUCUCUCUCUCCUUCUCCAAAUAUAUAUAUAUAUAUAUAUAUAUAUAUAUAUAUAUAUAUAUAUAUAUAUAUAUAUAUAUAUAUAUAUAUGUCACACCCGCUCUUCAACUCCUAAACCCCUUCAAAUUAAUAUGUGUGUAUAUAUAUAUACACGCACACACCUACCUCAUUGAAGAGACCAUUAGGUUCGAACAUGUGUUUUUGAGCAUUAGCUAGCUUUUUAAAAAGAAAAAACAAAGAGAGAGAGAGAGAGAGAGAGAGAGAGAGAGAGAGAGAUCUAAUGAAAUAGGUUUUCUCUCUCUACACAUCUCCACUAUAACACUUCCUCUCUCUCUCUCUCUCUCUACCACUCCAAUAAUCCAUAUGGUGAGUACAUAUAUCAACCUUUCUCUCUUUUUUGCAAAAAUAAUUGCUGGCCAUCCAUCACGCAUCCAGCACGAAUCCUAAAGCAGCACCAUGGCAAGCUCGGCACGAGUUUUAAAGCACGCAUAUAUGCUCAUCAAAUUUGUAUCCCUUUUUUAUAAAAAAAAAAAAAAAAAAUUUAUUUGAUACAGGAGCUUGCGCUAUAACCAUAACUUAUUAUAUAUACGUGCGCGUGUUUACAUAUAUCUAAUUGGCUAAAGUUUUUUUUUGUUUUUUUGUUUUUUUAUUUUAUUUUAUUUUUUUUGGUGAUUUGGGUUGGGGCCCAAAUUAAGACACUGUUACUAUUGUUUCUUAGGGCUGUAACAAGGGUAGUGGGCUCACUGGCGAGCCGGCCGGCGGCCGCGGCGGCGACAAUUCUGUAUCACGGCGGCGCCCUCCCGCGGGACCGCGCGCUGGAGCGGUUGGUUUGCGACGAUGUGAUCGACUGCGGCGGCGACGGCGCGGAAAAAUACAUUUUCUACUUCAUCAUCAACAUCAUCAAGUGCCUCUACUGAGGGAAAAAUUCUAGAAUGCAACGGGUAUAUUAGUGACGUGGCGUAACAAACCAAUCAAAUUAAUCCUUUUAAGAAUAUAUGUCCUAUCAUGAUUGUAAAAAAGUAUUUUUAUUGUAUUUUUGUUUGAAAAGAAGGAAUGUGAUUGGCUUGUUAUUGAUGACGUGAUGCAACUGUGACAGUGUAGAAUUCCUCCUACUAAGGGGAUAAAACUUCAGUGGUUGCCCCUGAUCUGCAACCGUGUAUUAGUUUUAAGGGUUAAUUCCAUACAGAUUCCUACAAACAUAGUGAAUUAUAAAUAUAUCUUUAUAAAGUUCAACUUUCAUAUAUUGUUUAUGUAAAAGUUCUAAUAUUUUCAAACAUAUUUUUCUGGUUUGUUACUGUUUAUUUUAUAAGUGAAAUGACUUUUUUGACAUCAUAAAUGUCAACUUUCAAACAUAUCUUUAUAAAGUUCAACUUUCAUAUAUUGUUUAUGUAAAAGUUCUAAUAUUUUCAAACAUAUUUUUCUGGUUUGUUACUGUUUAUUUUAUAAGUGAAAUGACUUUUUUGACAUCAUAAAUGUCCCUUCAAAAGUCCUAACAAUUAAUUAAAGAAUGGUGAAAAUGUCAAUUAACCUUAUUAACUAAUUAGGGUAAAACAUUUUACCUAUGGUUACCUAAUUUUUUCUAGUAGAUCCUAACGGUAUGAACAUAUUUGAAAAUAUCAUAAUUUUUGUACGAACAACAUAUAAAAGUUGAACUUUAUAGGGUUAUAUUUAUAAUUCACUAUAUUUGUAGAGAUCUGUAUAAAAUUAAUAUUAGUUUUAAAAGUGACACGUGAGGCCGAAUUGGAACUAGUUAACGGUGCGUUGUUUGAGAGCUCCCUAGCUACAUUAUAAGAUUGAUUAAUUACCAUUUAAUAUUGGAAUUAAUGGAUAAUGAUAUGAUAUGUUUUGGAGAUAUGAUUAAUGAUUAGGCAUAGUUUAAUUUUUCUUUUUCUUUUUUCUUUUUUUUUGAGUGGGUUUUUAUUUGGUGGGUAGCAUGUUGUAAGCUUUACAGAGGUGACAAUUUUUAAUCUGGUCUCAAUUGUUACCAUAAUUACCAUUCUACCCCUUAAUUACUAUUUCUCUUGGGGAUUUAUACUAAUUAGUAAUUAUGAUCAAAAUGUUUCUAUCUCAACAUUUUCAUAAAAAAAAAAAAGGCUAAUUCUAUAUAUCCCUGUAAAGUUUUGAAGCUGCGAAUAUACCGCUCUAACAUUUUAAUUAGGUAAAGGCAUAUAAAACUUAUCUGAACUAUGAACUAUUUUAUUUUAACUUUUUAAUAUUUUAAAAUAUUUGAUUUUGCUACCUUUAGAUCGUUUAUUCUUGUAAAUUUAGUUAGAAUAUUUAAUACAAUUCUUACAACUAGGAAUUUAUUACGAAAUUUGGUUUUUAAAUACUUUCAAUAGUAUAGAUCAAAUCUAACGGAGUCGAUCGUCAGUUUGUAAGCCGCAUAAUUGAAAACAACUUGAUAGCACGGAGACCUCUGUGCUACCGAUAGUAUACCAACCUAGCUCUCUCUCUCUCUCUAUAUAUAUAUAUAUAAUAAAUUCAAGUUCAGAAUUAGGAUAGGGUUCAGGUUCGGAUCGGGUACAAUCAAAAUCCAUACCCAAAUCUAAAUCCGUCGGAUUUUUUUUUUUUAUAUCCAUAUCUGAAACUAUAUCCAUUUAACAUCGAAUAAAUCCACUCCGUUCGAAUUCGGAUUCAAAUAAAAUUUCAGUUUUCCGUAUCCAUUGACAUCCCUAUUGUAGGCUCCUCACCCCCAACACUGCACUUCAGAACUCAUACUAUAUAUAUAACCCAACAGGCUCUUUAAGAAGUUCAUAAAAGUACUUGUAAGCAUAGCAUGACUCAUAUAUUUACGCGAGUACUAGGAAUAUGACAUUUUUAAACUUCUGAGUGAUACAAAUGAAAUUAACUCGGAGAAGGACAUGAAGUAAAAGAAAACAUAAGACUAAUGCUGUAAAAAUUACAUGACACAUAUUAUGCUGUUUGAAUGAUAUGUACACAUGCCUGAUCACAACAAACAAACAAUAGACAAAUAAGGGGACAACAAAAAAAAAAAGAAAAAAAGAGUAGAACUGGAACAAUGGUUUCAUCACAUUACAUCAACAAAUCAUGUAUCUGAUAAUCUCAACUAGGAUGAAGCAACAAACUGAGAGAAAUUAACCUGCAGAAAAUGGUAUCAAUCUUUGUGUUUAUACUACGAAUCUGGGAGCGAGAUGGACGACUUCAAUGGUGAAAAAUGCUGGACACCUUCUGUGAAACUUUGUUAUAACUUCCUCGACGAAAUGAACUGAACUGAACUGAACCGAGCGGUCAAUUCGUCACACGUACUCUUUCGAAUUUGGCUGAAGCUGCCCGCUGGGGGAACUAAAGGAGUCGAGCCGCCUCGGGGUGCACCGAUCACGACCGUUGAUGCCUGCUGCUGGAAAAGAAGCGAUUCUUUCGGGCAGAUAGGUCGAAUCGGUUGGCUCGAUUCUUGUUCUCAUUUUGACAGGCUCACCAGCCAGACCUUUCCUGCUGUAGUGCAGUAGCAGCUUAUCCACCACCCUUUCCUCGUCAUCGCGGUUGUCGUCAAAAGCGGAAGCCCCUCUCCCGCCAUGUCUUCUUCGGCCUCCUGGGGUUUGACUUGAGAGCUUGCCAUAAUCGACGGCGUAAUCCGUCUCAUCGAACACUGGUUGCGGAUACCUGUCCACAACUUCCUCAUCAUAUUGGCUGUCGUAGCUCGCUUUGUGCCUCCUACUUGUGUGUCUUCUUUGGCCACGCGGAGUUCGGGUCGAGAACUUGUCAUAAUCGUGAGUAGCACCAAAUAUUUCGCUAACCACUUUCUUGGGCUGCAUGUCUGCCGCAUUCGCAUCAUGGCCGUUAUCGUAAGUAACGCAAUGCCGCCUACUCGUAUGGCUUCUUUGGCCACGCGGGGUUUGAUUAGUGAACUUGCCGUAAACAGUAGCAUCAACCAUUUCGCUAACCACUUUCCUGGGGUUCCUUUCCACAACACCCGCAUCAUAGCCAUCAUCAUAAGUAACGCUAUGUCGCCUACUUGUAUGGCUUCUCUGAACACUCAGGACUCGAUGAGAGAUCUCACCAUAAUCGAAAGCAUUAUCCAUUUUGUCAGGUUGUACUUGCUCGCCGCAAUAAUCACUGUAGGUAGCGCUGCUCCGCCUGCUUGCAUGCCUUCUUCUGUUACGCGGUGUUUGGCUAGCAAUCUUUUCAUCGUAAGUAGCAGCCCCUUCGGUUGUAUAAAAUUCUGUUCUCUCCAAAGGGCUGUUAUCUUCGGCGCCUGUAGACCCAUCACAACCAGAAAAUUUUUGAACGGUUUGAUUAAUAAUAUCCAUUGGUUGGGUGGUGAAUUUUGAUUUCACGUAAGGAGGAAUCUUAUCAGCUGCUUUCGCAUAAUUCACCGGUCGAAUCGGCGACAUAUUCGGUGAUCCAUCAUAUAAAGGUUUGUCGUUCUCUUCUUCGACAUACUUUUCACUCAUCGUUCUCCGCUGGUUAGUGUACGGAGGAACCAUGUUGAUAGUUCUUUGAUUUAACGAACUCGCUGAAUCAACUUUGCUGACACGAUCCAUCUCUUGGGUUUUCGCUCUCCUGUUCCAACAAGGGUCAUCCUGGGCCCCUCGCAAUUCAUCUUUUGCAACGCUCUUGUCGCUCUCCUUUUCAACAUCGCCUUCUUUCUUAGUUCCGUUCGGUUUAGUAUACGGAGGAACCAUUUUGCUAAUUUUGUAUCCAGCGUAUUUGACCGAACCACUUUCUUCCUCUGCGCCACGAGGAGCAAAGCCUUCUCCAUCCUGCGGCGGCCUAAUGAUUUUUUCUUUAAGACUGUCUGCUCUCCGGGUUUCUUUGAGAUAAUUCCUCGGAGUGAUGAUUGAAGGAACUGUGUAGUUAGUGCGAUAAUCCUCUCUCGGGUUCUCUUUGUGAUUAUUCUGUAGGUUGAUGUGUGAAGGCGGCGUGUAACUAGUAUAGUCCGGUUUGAUGUUCUCCGGUUCCGCAACAAUAGGCCUCCGGCUUUUCUCUUGUAAAUGGCUAAUUUUGACAUCUGAAAUUACGUGAAUAUCCUUCAGUUCGAUCCGCACUUCUUGUUUCUGCACGAAAUCUGCAGGAGUAGGCCUACGUAUCCCUUCUGAUGAAGUAUCCUCCUUAUGCCGACUGGGCGCCAUUGGCGAAGCUUCGUUUCGACAACUAAAAGUAGCACACCUUUUGGGCAGAUCCUGUAAAAAUUAAUUUUUUUUUUAAAAAAGUUAAAUGUAGUAGGUGUCGGAAAAUGUUCCGGAAAGAGGAAUACUAAUCGGUGAAUAAAUGAAAUUUCUGGACAUGUAAGAACGGAGAUUGGUUAAUUAAUACACUUACGUAUUUAGAUUCAGGCUGAUUAGACGAUUUCCGUUCGAAUGCCUUUGAAUCAACUUUAGUCGAGGACUCUUGAGCAAUAUUUUGCAUAACUUCCGACUUCUUUUCGGCAGAAAACGACUUUUUCUGCACCUUCUCAAUGAACUAAAAUGAAGCAAGAUCAAACUAGUCAAAAAUUGACUACAAGAAAAAGCAAACUCAGUUGCGCACUUGCAUGAGGAAUGGGAAAUGAUUAGCACCUCUUGCUUAACAAAUGAUUCCAUGUGACUCCCAUAUCUCUCGUUAAAAACAUGUCUGAGAUCACACAAUUCCGGCAGAUCGGGAAAUCUAGCGGCAGCAAAGAUUAGAGUUGCUACAGCUUCCAGCGCUUCUGGAGGGCAAUCCCUGAAGAAAUGCAAGAUUGAAAAAUAAGAGCGACGGACAACCGGAGAAAUGGAAAAAUAGAGUGGAAGAUGAUUUGGAGUUCUGCAUAGUAGCAAACACGAGCAAAUUGUUAAGAACAGCGAGAUCCAGUAAAAUAGAAGGGAAUAUAGAGACACAAAUAUGACUAAUGUCGGCGCAAUAGGACUGAGCCAUUGCUCUUUGACACUCCACCUAUCCUGAACAUCCAAACUCUUCUAAAAUUAAGUUGUGCAUAUUCCUGUUAUUUCAAAUUCCAUAAUUAGCUAUUUUAGCUGUUAAGAUUUAAUAUUGGGCCUUUUCCUACUAAGUCAACAUUUCAGGUGACAUGGUAUUAGAGCUCGUCCGAAGCCCACUCCGUUCUAAGAGGUUCUGAGUUUGAUCCCCACAUCCGUCAUUUUAUGCCGUAUAUUUCUGUCUACUAUUCCAUUGUCUCUUUUGUUACCUCUUCAGUCAGUCCACGUGGUAUGGUUCAUCUGAUAUUUACUAUGCACAUGAGUAGAAGUAUAAAGACUAAUAGUGGGCCAUUUCCUACUAGAUCGACCAAUCUUUUGGGUAACUGUGGCUUCACAAUCUGAUAUUUAGUAUUCAAAUUAUGAACCAGGGAAAAAGAAAUCUUAGAAACAGCAGUUGCAUCAUGGUAAGUUGCUGACUGAUCGCAGGGCCUUGCUCAUCAGUAUUCUACGCUAAUUUAGACAAAAAAUUAUUCCAAGGUGAAGAGGGCCUCUGCUGAUACACGCGAAAAGGGUGAAAAAUUAGAAAAUGUGGUUCCACGAUAUUGCACGAGUAUUGAAAUCGAAAAACAGAAGAAUGCUAUAACAUUGAACAUUGCUGUAAUGCACUUAUUGCCGCAAACCUCGUAUGAUAAGAAGUAUAAACUACAAACCAUUCAAAGAAAAAUGUAGCAACAGUUUGAAAUACCUCUGCUUCCGCAGGCACUGAAGCUGCUUCAAUAUAUCCUCACAGAAUUGCUCAAUCAUGUCAUAGCAGGAUGCUUGAUUUAUCUCCACAAUAAGUGCAUCGAUCUGUUCAAAUAAUAACGAGAACUUCGUUGAGUAGACAUUAUUAAACAACCAUUCUCUGUCAGCUUAAGUUUAAGAGAGAAAAUUAUUGUUUCACAUAACAUCAGUUUGGUGAAGACUAUUAGAAUACCACUCUCUACCAGCUUAAGCUUUUAGAGAAUUUUUUUUUAAAAAAAAAGUUAUUUUACGUGGUAUCAGAAAAGGAGACCCAGAGCUCAAACAUAUUUAGGCAACUAGUCUCAUUUAAUCUCCUGUCAAAAUCCACUAACACCUUUCUAUAGCAGCGAAAGCUUUCAGAGGAUAACAAUUGUUUCAAAAACUACCAAACAACAAAAAGGCGAAGUUUUCAACGAUAAUUUACACGCACAAGAAAAGUUAAGCAAAAGAACCAUUUUGCGAUGACUUUCUGUUAUACUAAAAGCAACAAAGCCAAUGAAGCAGUUUAGACUCAUAUUAGCAUAAAACAAAUUAGUUCACAGAGAUUCUUCUUAAGAUAUGAUUUGGCAUGAAAAUCUACCUACCAUGACACCAUGGCAGGUAGGGAAACCUACCAUAUUAUCGGAAUCACUCAAUUAGAAUUGAACUUACGCUCACAUUAGUCAACUAGUAGAUGCUGAUUUUCCAAAACCUAAAGCUAUAUCCAAGAGUCCGCAAAAUGACAAAAAAUUAGCUACAAGUUCUUGUUCCUUUCAGGUAAAAUCGUACGGAACUUACUUGAUCUAUGAGCCAUUCAGAGUUAGGUACCCAACCUUUCCAAAUUUUGAUUUUAAUACCCAACCUUUCAAUUUAUUUGAUUCGAGUUAGUCGACAACACUUUGACUUCACAAUUUAACCUAAUUACUUUUUUAAUGAAUUUAUGGAAAUUUCAAGAAAGAGAAUAAUAAAGAAAAGAAAUCGACAGAGCCUCUGCAUACACACAAAAAUAAUAAAAUAAAAAUUCUAUGAAGAGUAAAAAAAAAAAAGGGAAAGAAAAUGCAUGAAUUCACAAUAUUAAUAACAUGGGAUAAAAUAAAAAUUAAAAAAAACAGCUGGAUUUCAAUUAGAGAGUAUAGGAAAAACAAAACUAAAGUGUGCAUUUACAUUAAAACACCUAAAUUCUUCCCAAAUUACACAAAUUUCAUCGCAAAUUUUAUUAUACCCACAUCAAAUUUACAGCAAAUAAAACAAUCAAUAAACCCCCAAAAAAUCAAUUAAUGAUACCCAAACUUCAAUCAGAGAACAGAAGCAAAACAAUGUCAAAGUGUGCAUUUAAAUUAAAACACCUAAAUUCUUCCUAAAUUACACAAACUUCAUUGCAAAUUUUAUCAUACCCACAUCAAAUUCACAACAAAUAAAACAAUCAUUAUAAAAUCAAUAGUUACCCAAAAAUCCAAUUAAUACCACCCAAAUUUCAAUCAGAGAACAUAAGAAGAACAAUACCAAAAGUGUGCAUUUAAAUUAAAACACCUAAAUUCUUCCUAAAUUACACAUACUUCAUUGCUAAUUUUUCCAUACCAACAUCAAAUUCACAACAAAUAAAACAAUAAUUACAUCAAUAAUACCCUAAAAAAAAAGAAAAACCAAAUUACCCUUCCGAAUGCGACGUCGCGGUGGCCAUCGGCGACGAGAUCGGCGACAUCCUUCUUCAGGAACCUCACCAUUGCCUGCUUCUUCUUCUUGAUCGGAUCCAACCGAGCUUUUAUGCAUUUUAUCGCAUGCUUACUGAAACCAAAUCACACACACACAAAUAAAAUAUUCAAAUCAAAUGAACUUCAUCACAAAUUUCGCUUUUUUUCUUCUUUUUGCGUAAAAUUGUAUGGAGAAAAACUCUGAAACACAAGCCCUUUUUUCUUUUUCUCUUUUUGAUUUUGAUAUUAGUGAUGAGAAUUUUUACAAAAACGAACAAUGGUUCUGGUAAACGAUAAAAAGAAAAAGGAAAAAUUUGAGGGGCAGCUUCAAAACGGGGCAUAGUUGAGGGGGUUUCCAUACAUUUUCAUAGAUUUUUUUUCUAUUUUUCUCACAAGAAAAUCUCAAUUCAAGAAGCAGAAGAUGAUGAUGAUGAUGAUGAUGAUGAAGAAGAAGAAGGAAAAACAUUACCAUUUGUUGGAAAACUUGGAGCCCAACAAGCUAUCAAACAUUUCCCCCCCCCUCUCUCUCUCUAAAACUCUCUCUCUCUCUCUCUCUAAAACUCUCUAUCUUUCUCUCUCUAAAGCUCUCUCUCUCUCUAAAACUCUCUCUCUCUCUCUUCUUCUUGAUCUUCUACUUUGCUUUAUUUGGUGGAGUGGGAGAAGAGAAAGGGUGGGGGAGUUGUGACUACCAUUAAAGCACUCAAAAAAAGUGGAGAGAGAAAAAAAGUGGAGAGAGAGAGAGAGAGAGAGAGAGAGAGAGUGAGAUAGUUUGUAUGGGGAGGUGUGAGCUUUAGCUUUUAGGAGGAGAGAGAGAGAGAGAAAAUUAAAGAAGAAAAAGGAGGGAGGAAUUAAUUACUUACAAUGAAAUAAAAAAAAAUAAAAUUGCAUUCUCUUUUAUAUAUAUAUAUAUAUAUAUAUAUAUAUAUAUAUAUAUACACUAAAGAAAAAGGAUUAAGUAAGCGGGAGGUUAAUAUAGUAAUAAUACAUACUUAAUUAUGUGUAGGGUUGGGGUUGGGUUUACCCACAAGUGCACUCAAUUGGUUACUAGUGUGUGUCCAUGUCAAGUUUUAGAAUUUAUUUAAAAAAACAAAAAAAAAAAUUAAAGGGCUUAUUCUUCCUAGCGAGAAUGUCAGAAUCCUUUCUAUUCAGAAUUCAAGAUCAAAAUCCACCUCCAGUAGGGGUAUAAAUAGAUCCGGAUUGAUAGAGCUUUUGUUUUGAUUCAAUCUGACUUGACAGUAAGUGGGGGGCUAAAAAUUUAAAAAUAUACAUAAUUCGUCUCAAAUUCAUCCAGCCCUGCUGAGGAAAUGGAGUGAAUGACGAAAAAUUCUUUCUUAUUUUGAUUCGUUCCAAUAUGCCAAAAAUCUAUUAAAAAUCCGCUCUUGUUCGCCCGAUCUCGAAUAAAGUAGUAAGUGGAGACAAAAAAUAAAAAAUGAAAAUCAACCUGUCUCGAAUUCAGUUCAAUCUGACUUGUCAAAGAAUUCACGCAGUUUGCAACCCUAAUCUCAAGCCUUACUAUUGUGACACGAGUGGCCUCGAUUUGAACUUGAAUUUUCAAAUAGUUUUUAAUUAUUAGCUACCGGAGUAGCCGAUCGACAUCAGAAAAAAAAAAAUUUAGUAGCUUUUUUCGAUUCAUGUCCGAAAUUCUUUUUUUUUAAUUGCGGUUAAAUGAAAGAAAAAAAUAAUAAUUUUCAUGCGCUAAGAAAUAGUAGUUGACUUAUUUUAUAAUUUAGAAAUUUUAGCUUCCUAGAUAAAAAUUUGAAUAAUUAGCUCUAAAAGUUCAAAAUUUGCUAAAAAAAAUUUGAAUUAAAAAUAUAUUUUUUUCUUUUUAGCUCAAAAAAUUUAAAAGUUACUAACAAUUUAAAAUUUCUAGCUGUUGGAGGGAAUGAAAUAAUUUUGUGCCACGUGUACGGUGAGUGGUUGUUUUGAUGACACCAACUCCGACAUUUCGAAAACCUUAAAAUUAAUUAAUUAAUUAAUUAAUUUCCCAAAUUCCACCAAUAGGAACGUUGUGAAGGGUAUUAUGGGAAUUUGACAUAGGGGCUUCCCACAAUAGAAAACGUUGUGUGAGGGUAUUUUGGGAAUUUUACAUGGAUAGGGGCCCACCACUCUCGUAGAACCCGGCGCCGUGCCCGAGGCGUUUACCGUUUGCUUAUAGAAAGUGGAAGUGAAAUUUUACGUAGAACCCCCUAACCUAUAGAAAAAUUUGAAAUUGGACCCUAGUCUUUACUUUAUUUGCUUUACUAAUAUUUUUAUCCUCAAACCUUAUUUCUUUAAAACUUUUUAAUUUAUCUACAAUUAAAUUUCGCUAUAUAAUUUAAUAUAUUAAAUCGUGACAUGUAUAUGAUAAUAAUAUAGUGAUGGUUGUGAUUAAUGUCGUAAUAAUGACUAAAAGAUCAUGUAUCAAAUAAAUUAAAUUAGAUAAUAAAAUUUAAUUAUAAUAAUUUAAAAAAUUAAGUAAAAAUAUAAUAAAUUUAAUUUUAAGAAUUAAAAUUAAAGUUUGAUGCCUAACAGUAAUUUUUUCUUAAAUUUAUGUGCGUCCUUUAGUUAUUUAUUACUAAUCGCUCUAGUUUUUUAUUGACAAUGAAUUAAAAUUAUUGAUCAGUUUGAUAAAUCACCCAAUUAUAAACGAACAAAGAUUAAAAAAAGGUAUUAAUAAAAAAUUAAAAUACAAAAAAAAAUUCUAUAAAUAUUCAUUUUUACUUUCCAUUUUUGACUUUUGAAAAUUUAUAUUUUACUUUUUCAAAAUUUUAAGCUGAUAUAUUUAGCCCUCCUCCGUAAAAGCUCCUCCGUAAAAGCUUAGUUUAUUUUUUACAAUUUAUACUACAAAUAACUUUAAAAAUAACAAAAAUAUAUUGUAAAAUUUUUUUUUAUAGAAUGAGUAAAGACAAUUUGUUCAUUUCGCCCUCUUAUUAACAUCGUAAUCUUAUAUAAAUAAUUUUUAAAUUCUAAAAAAAUAAACUGUAAAUUUUUAAAGAUUUAUGACAUUAAUCAUAACCAUUUUUAUUUUUAUUUAAAAUUAUAGAUUUAUGACAUCUAAAUAAACCAUUUUUUCUAUGGGUUUAUUGUAUUAUAGCCUAAUAUAAAAAAAUAAAAGUAGAGGGCUCGAUUUCUAAUUGUUCUAUAGUGGAGGGGGUGGUCUCCAUAAAUUUUUGUAUUAUAGCCCCUUUUGUUUGUUUUUUUUUUAGCAUUUUUUUUUGAACGUGGGACGUGGAGGGAGGUGUGGGGCCCAGAGUCGUUUCAAUGUAACGGGCAUCUCCUUUUCUGAUGCACACCUGGACUUUGAGAUUCGCGCGCGCUGCCAUUCUCUUUCGGAGCGGGAAUAUUUGCAUCUUAGCUGGAUACCAAUCAUCACUGAUGAAAUGAACUGUGCACGCUUCAUCCUUUGCUUAAGGCCUAAGGGAGUGGAAAAUAAAAAUAUUAUUUGUGAAGGCUUAAUUAUUCCAUACUGUAUAAUCUAUAAUAGGACUCGCAAUUCAACUCGCUGUUCACGAACUAACUCGUGUUCAGCUCAAAAUGAGCUCGAGAUCAGUCGCUCGUUUAAUAAACGAGAGCAGUACGCGAGCUGAAUUGUUCGGCUCAAAGUUUUAAUGAGCCGAAUAGGAGCUGGAAUUAGCUCGCUCGUGUUCGACUUGAUAUAACUAACUCCAAUAUGGAUAUGACAAUUUUCUACUAUUUCAAUUUUAGGCCAACUCAAACACAAAGAAACAUAUAUUUUAUAAAUUUUAAUUAUUAGAUUAAAAUUUUAAUUUUUUUAAUUUUUUAACUUUUCAUUCUAUAGUAGGGCUGACAAUCUUAAAAAUACUGUUUGUGCGCUAGCUCGUGUUCAGCUGAUAUAAAUAGGCAGAACACAAACUAAAUUUUUCAAUAUAAUAUUUUAACGAGCCAAUUCGUAUUUAACUAUUUUAAUAAAUAAGCAAAUACGAACCGACCUCGUCUCACUCGUGUUUGGCUCUUUAACAGCCCUACACUGCACUAUACUUUUUAGAUUUUUUUUUUAUUUUCUAUCAUGUCUAAUUUUUUUCCAAACACAUCCCUCAAAUAUCUUUUUUUUAACCAAAUUCUACAUUAUAAGUAACAAAUCUAUAAUUUUAAAUAAAAAUGGUAAAAAAUACAACGUAAAAGUGAUAAAGCAUAUAAUCAACUCAUCUCUACUAAGAAAACCCAAAAUAUUUAAAAUCAAUAAGAACAUAGUUGAAUAUGAUUCUUUCAUAAAAAUUCAUUUUAUAUUUUUUCUAUUAUUUAACUAGUUCUUCUUAAUAAAGUUGCUAAAUUUUAUCUAAAAUGAUAGAUUUAUUACGAUGAUGAAGAGAUUGAUAAGAAAAAUAUAAUUUACCGAAAUUUAUGAGAAAAAAAAGUACAAAAUAGGAAAAAAAUAAAAUAAAAUACAAGUAUCAGGGGGCUAGUACUUCUAGAAGUAUUCUAGCUCAAUUAUACAACACUAAGUUAAGCUAUACUUUUAGUAUACGGAAUGAAUCCAAAAAAAAGAAGAAGAAGAAAACUUCAUAAAUCAAACCAAUUAAACGAAUCAAACUGGUAAACGUGUUUAAACCGACAAACCAAGGUUUGGUUUUGAUUUCGACUUUCUCAAAACGAUUUAAAUCAAUUCGGUUUCAAUUUAUGUAAACCCAAUCGAAAUCAAAUGAUGGUUCACAUACCUAAAUGCAAAAGAAUCAUGCCUAACAAUUAAAGGCCUUCAAUAGAAUAGAGAGAUAUUUCUGAGUUUCGAAUAAAUCAAGAAAACAUAACUAAAUACUACAAUUAAUGGCCAUAUUUCGAUAAUAUUUUUGGAAAAUAUCUACAUUACCACAGCAAACUACGAAAACAGAUCAUUCCCCAGAUGCGGAAACUAAAAUACCAGUUCUGCAGUGAGCUACCCAGCAAAUACAAAACUAAUGUACAAAAAUUUGGUAAAAGAAAAUCUGGAGAGAAGAAGAACAACAUACCAAAGCAAUUUUUACUCAAGCUCGGCACAUGCAAGGGGUUAGCGGGUUCUCCCAGAGGUCGUAGUUCGGGAAAGUCUCCUCGGGGAGGCCGGUCCGGGUCUGAUGGGUGAUGACCACGUCCUCGACAAAGGCAGCCCAACCCAUGUAAGGGUCGCCGAAGGAUUUGGACAUGAGCCCCUUGUCCGGCUUUAUGGACUUGAGCCGAUGCCCCAUGUAGCGUCGGGCGCCGAUGAUCAGCUUCGCAAAGUUGCCCCCAUGGGUCAUCACGAACACGUCUGACUUCAAGCAGACUAGGAAGUCCAAGGCAGCUAAGCUCGUCACGUGCUUCCUGAAAUGGUCCAUUUCCUCUUUGCUUGCUAGUUCCUCCUUUGUUAGCUGCAACCGGCAGCAGAAGAAAGAGGAGAAAUUAUCAUCAAAUCACGCGAACAAAAAGAUAAUAACUGCAGCUAACGAGGAAUCAGAAAGCUUCUUUAGCUAGAAGACUUAGAAUAGGAUAGCUUCUGACGAUAUAAAGGGGAAAAUGAUGCUGAGACCGCAGAAAUAGUUACUUAUAUGUUUUGAAAUCUGGUAAAGAGAGAACUUACUAAAUUUGGGAACAUAUUUCUGAGAGGAGCCAUCCUGUUCUUUCCACCAUACACCUGUCCAGAAGCAACAUAAAUCUGAGUUUCCUUGGGAUAUCCCAUUGCCCGCAAGAUAACAGCUACCUCCCCUGGCUCAAGAGGGCAGCGCCCUUCCUUCCGCUUCUGCAGUGCUAACUGCCAAAGAUGAGACCCAUUCUGCACGCAAAUGCAGCAAACUAAAAGAAUAUUAACUUCAGGCCGUUUCUCUUUAUGAUUGCUAUAUGAUUUGGAUUGUUCUCACCUUGUACCGCCUAGGCCAUUCCUUUUGUCUGUAAGCAGCCAUCAUCGCUUUCUCUUCUCUUGUUCCGACAAAAUCACAAAAAGAAAGGCCCACCAUUCCUUUCUCAAAUCUCAGAUGUAGUGCCCUGUUAGAAAGGAAAAGAGCAUAAAACCAGUGUAUAAGACACGUGAAGGUUCUAGAACACACUUACAUGCCAUAUAAUGUGUACUGAUGGCAACUGACUAGAGGCUUACAUAUAUGGGUUCAAACUGCCAGUGCGGUUCCGCAUUCUUGCUGCUAGUUUAUCUGCCAUUUCUUCGAUCUCAGGUAGAAACUUUAAAGCAUGGUAGUUAACCCUGCAUCUAAGCCUGUUUAUCUCGGUUGGAACAUUAUCAUAUCUGGAAAAAAGAAAGAAUGGUCAAAUAUUUUAAUCAGAUAACCAGAUGACUAACUGUAACAUACAACCACAUACAUGAAAGUUAGAAAAGCCUACAAAGUUGAAUGUAUUGAAUAAGAACAUGUACGACAGAAGAAAAUAUAUUUCAUUUCCCUAUUGGACACCUGCAAGAAUACUGAAGUCGCACCAAUCAAAAGCAUAUUAUUGACAUGACAACUUUUGAAGAACAAGAAAAAAAAAGAGAGAGAUAGAGAUUGUGAUUUUAUUAACAUUCUGUACUUACCCUAACCGAUCAACAAAUGGCUUUAGAGCCAUUAUCUUCUUCUCUUUUAUCCUUGGCAGUACGUUGUCAAUAUAGAACUGUGCAGGUGCAUAUUUUGGUAUGUUCUUCACGGUGCGUCUGAUGCAGAGCACUAAAAGGUCAGUAAAGAAAAUUUCAAACAUUUUUCUACCAAUAUAUGACAUUAUCUUUAGCAAAUGCAACCUACAAGAUGGAAAAGAGUAGAAAACAAUUUAAUAAGGGCCAAAUAAGUCAACUCAAAAUGAUAAAUAGAUAUUUAGUUAUCAAUAUCUAGUUCAGAUAAGUAGGAUUGAUCGAGAAAGUGGAUGCUACGAUCACUAAUUAUACAAUGGCCGCAUCUCUGCCCAAGUUAAUAAUACGUCACGAGAUACAUACAAUAGCUGGUAUCAAUCUCAGGCAUAUGUUGCUCAGGCAAUGUGCAGAUCACCUUAAUCGAACAAGUGGAUGAACAAAAAGAAGUCCAGAUUAUCAACAAGAAGAUUCUGAAUUAAUAAUAGCUUGUAUGGAAUUUUGAAUUACAUGGCACAUAAAUAUAGAUUUUACAGGUAAAUAACCAAUGCAAUAGCAAUAUAACAUCAGGAUCACCGUUAAAGCAUCAUUAGAAGGGAGUACAAGGUAUCACGUCUUAUUGAAACACUACAAAUCUUCAAAAACCUCCCGUGGUAUAGCCCAAUUGCACUUUAUACUGGUCCUUCGUACGUAUUUGCACUUUGAUAUCCUUUUCAUCGGCAUGUCAUUAUGACAACUGAAUCAGUAAGAACACGGGCUAACUGCCAUACUUUGAACCUUGUAGUAGCAAAGUGAAAAUGGACUAUAACACGAGGUUUAGGAUGCUAAGGAAAAAUUAUGGACUCAAGUCAAAAAGCAUUAUCCGGUAAGGUAUUUGUAUGAAAUUUUGCCAAAUGAAGAAAUGGUUAGCGCACAAACAACUAUAUAUAGAUGAUGAACUAGUGCAAACCUUAUACUGGUAAAAAGCUCAGUUUUUUCGGUAAACCAGUCAGGAAUAUCUCGAACAAUGUGGACAUCAUCCUUCAGAUAGUCAAUAAAGUGAUCUACAUCAAAUAUAUCUUCAAACUUUCUGCACAUAUUAAACCAUGCAAGCAGGAGAUUACCAAUUAUAUGAAGAAAGAAAAGAAAAGAAACUACAAGAAAUGACACCAGAACAAGGGAAUCUCGAAGACAAGAAGACUGUUAUAAAACUAGAUUCCUACAAUUUAGUCAUUUAGUCAUUCUAUUAAAAAAGAGUACAUAACUUUUUAACUCCUAUUCGGGUACCAUUAGGGCUAAUUGAGAUUCUUUAGAAAAUUAAGGAUGCUAAUUGAAAUUUAUAAAGAUUAAACACAUCUAGAUUUAAUUUAACGUGCUGAAAGAGCCGCAUUGUGACAACAGAUGAUUUUGGAAAGAGUUUGAAUGAUUAAGGACUUCCUUCUCGGACUCAAGUCAGUCUUAUAAUAAAUAUUGCAAAGAAGGUAUCCAGAAAUAGAGUCAUACAAUGGAAAAAUGUAAGUAUUUUACUUCAGGCCUUGGAACUUCUAGCCUUUCUCCUAAUUCUGUAGUUAGUCUCCCUUCUUAAUUCAUUAAUUUCUUCUUGUUCUCUUCCUUUACUUUGCAGCAUCUGGUCAACUAGAAUCUACAUUAAUUAAUACGAGAGCUAAAGAUUCUCCUACAUAAGCAUGGUAUCUAAUAAAAUACAAAAAAUUGCGCAAAAGUUAAUCCAAGAUUCUAAGGAUCAACACUCCAGAUUUGAGAUGAGUCACCACAAGUUUUGCUAACAGUGUCUUACAAUACGUGAGUGAUAAAUUAAUCUUAAAGUAAAGACAUAGCUGCACAUUUGUCCCUACCAAACAGAUUUUCCCCGAAGGGGAUCAUGAGGUCAACAGGUUCAUCAAACUACAAAGGCAUGAAGAACAAAAAGGUAACAGAAUAUAUAACAUAAAACAUACGUUUGAUCUUUCCAUAUUUGAUCUUGCUUUAGAACAGGCAAAAUGAGUGUUGCAUUCAUAAUUUUGGCUACAGCAACAGCAUUACAAAUCUGCAUGCAAGCCAAAUUUUGCAAAUUGAUUAGGCAAACGUACAGGAAAAAAGAAGAACACUGAUAUAGAAUUACGUGUUUAACUUUUCCAAUGAUAUAUAUAUAUAUAUAUAUAUAUAUAUAUAUAUAUAUAUAUAUAUAUAUAAGCAAGAAAUGAUCGACAUGUACCACUAAGGCAAAAGGAAAAAAAAGAUAAUAAUUGUCAGUUGAUUAUCGGAGAAAAACUGUAUUAUUAAAUUGCAACAAAUUCUCUCUAUUAAGCAGAUAAAGGUAUCACUCAGCACUUUUCUUACACAUGGAACAAAUUCUCUCUAUUGAGAAUGAUAUCUGCACUUUUCUUACACAUGGAACAGACAUACGACCUAAUUAAGAAGCAACAAUUCUAGCAAUACAAAUCUAAUUAUAGAUCUCCACAUUCUAGCUAUCAAUCAAGAUCUAUAAUGUUAGUUUAAUAGCUAUUUAUAAAACAGAUAAGAAUAAAUCAAUCUAAUAGCUUUACUUAUCAUUUGAAUUUUCAUCACAAUCUAAAAUGUAGAGCAUCAAAAGGCAUUGAUUCUUUCCCCCUUAAACGAUUGGUGUAAAAACCACAACAGAUUUAUUAUUUGUAUUUGACGUGCAGCAGCUUUCACAUUAGAUGGAUCAACUUCAAUAGCAAAUAUAUUUUUUUUUGGAAUCGCAGCCUAAAGGAAGUUCUUUCGAUUUUCUUUAACAGGACAAACCCUCCCUUUAGACAUGAAAAAAUAGUAAUCCAUGUUACAAGAAUUUCCUGCAAUAACGUUGUCUCAAAUAGCAGGAAUAUGCAUCCAGAUGAAAUACUCCAAGCAAAGUAGUCAGUUAGUAAGCUAAACUUGGAAGUCCUAACAUUUAUUUCCAAUUGAUAAGACUAGUGCUUAAUAUGUAAUAUAUAAUGUUUUCCCUCCACCACAUGUGACAAUACUAUUUUCUGGAGAAAAUUAUAUUGUAGUGAGCUUGAAUUCAUUAGUAACAGGGCUAAAGCAUGCCCAAGAGAAACGGAACACAGCAGAUAUCUUUAUUCUUCAAGCUGUUCAGUGCUUGGUAUAGUAAAUUUUCUGAUUUUCUUCAACUAAGUUAAAAGAGAAACAAAGAAGAAACAUAUAUCAUGACUUCCGUUAAAGAAAUUUUAGGGGCCAGAUCAUUGAUGCUUAAAAAAGAAAACCUACACAACAACUGGAAGAAUGCAACAAGUGGCACACUUCAAAGUCAGACAGAAUGCAUACUUACAGCUAUGCGCUGCUGAUUUAAACCACCUUCGGCAUGAAUGAAUAUAUAACCAGAGGUUUCAUUCUCAGGUGGCAGAUCUGCAGGUUUAAAAACGAACCAGCAGGUCUUAGCAGAGCAUAAAAAAAUUAUCACGUAUAUGCAAAUUAUCUCACAAAAAGGCAUCGGCAGGUUAUAUAUACUGUAGCAUAUGGAAAAUAAAUUAGCAUGUUAAACAUAUUGUUUAUUAGAAUGCCCUUAGACUUCAUUCAAACAGGUAAAUCUAUGUACAAAUAGAAGUAAAAGCAAGUUAAUAAAGGGACAUUUUGGUCCACAUAACUUAAGAGUGAACUAAGGUUGCAAAAAAUUUAAAAAAUGGUGUUCCUAUUUUUCCCAUAGAUCUAUCUUUCCAACACAAAGAAUUCAGAAGUGGUAGUCUAAUCUCUCAAUCUAGGUUUACAAAAUGGAACUCUUGAACAAUUUGUAAUCGUGCCAAGCAUUGCAAGAUAGGAGAUACAUAUACAUUUUUUUUUUCCCUCUCGACUGACGCACAUUAUCAUGUCCUCCUGAUAAGGUUGGGUGCAUAAGACUGCAUGAAAAGCUACAAAUUCUGAAGCCACUUCGGUAGACACUACACUCAAUAUAUUAUCAGAGUAAUGUGAAUUUCCACAAGAAAGUUAAUAUUCACUUAAAAGCUACACUUGCCUGAAACCCCAUUAUCAUGUCUCUCAGCACAUGGCUUCCAUGAGGUAGUAGCUGCGUAGGGAUUCUCCCAGAGUGACGGAGGCUCUUUCGCCUUUGGCAAGAACAUCGAAGAUGAACAACAAAUUAUGACCAAUCCAUAUUCAGAUGCAAAACAAGUAUAUCUUUUCUAAUCAAGAUAAUGAUCUGAUUCCGGUGACAGAAGAAGCAACAUUGUCAAGAGGACCCCAGAGGAAAACUUACACGCGGGCAGCGGAGAGUAAUCCCAUCCUUGCGGCACAAAUAAGGCGCAUUCUGCAACAAAAAUUGAUAAGACAAUGUUCAAAACCAUCCACAAUCAUACAAAUCACAACUCAUAGCUGUUUCUCCAAAUUAUAGCAAGAAAGCAUGAAUUUGGACCAAAUAAUCGAUUAACCCGCACAAAGUUUGGAUUAGAUUUGAUAGCUGCAUUUGAUUUUUUUUUUUGUUUUAUAUUGGAUUUCACCGAUGAUUCCCAAAGUAGGUGUACAAAUUAGCGUUUGAUUAUAGAAUAAGAAGAAAUAUGAUAUGAUAUGAUAUGAUAUGAUUUGAUCUACGUGAUGUAUGGAUAGGUGAGAUGGGCUAUAUUUAUCGAAACCCUAACUCAAGUGAGUAGAAUCACUGAGAUAUUGGAGGGAGUUGAACUCACGAGGUGGCUCCAGAGAGAAGGGAGGGCGAGGACCCCGGCGAAGAGGAGCAAGGCGAGGAUGGCGAGCAAGAUCCGGUAGGAGUGGGGCGCGGAGGGCGACCGCGGAUCCUCGAGGGAGAGGAGCGAUCGGAGGGGAGGGGGGAGGUGGAGGAGGAAGUGUGGGGAGAAGAAGCGGUGGUGGUAGUGGUGAGGGAGCUUGUCCCGGUCCCGAUCCCGAUCGCGUCCUCCUCCGCCUCACCAGCUCGGGGACGACGGACACCACGCCCGGGGCCGACGACGCCGCCGCCGCCGCCGCGGGCGCCCAUGGACGCCGAGUGGCGAAGCUCCGCCAUGGGACGGGCGAGUGUGAGGUUUCUCUCUCUCUCUCUCUCUCUCUCUCUCUAAUAUUCGGGAGGCGGAAAUAGUAGAAUAUAAAUUUAUAUUUUUUACACAUUCUAUAUUUCAAACUUUCCCUGCAAAAUAAUAAAUUACAAAUAUAUUUCUAUAAAAUUUAACUUUUAUUUAUUGUUUCUGUAAAAGUUCUAAUAUUUUUCAAUAUGCCCCUCUAGUUUGUAAUCGUUAAAAUACUGUUUAUUUUUUAAUCAUAAAUAUGUUACUCCAAAAAUCUCAAUUGUUAAUUAAAGAAAGACAAAAAGGUCAAUUCAUCUUAUUAAUUAACUACGAUUAAGUAUUUAAUCUGUGAUUAACUAAAUUUUUGUAACGGAUUCUAAAAACAGAAACAUAUUUAAAAACAUCAGGACUUUUAUAAAGACAAUAUAUGAAAAUUAAACUUUAUAUAAAAUAUUUAUAAUUUACUAUAUUUACAGAGACAUAUAUACAGUUAACCCUUUUUAAAGUACUAUAAUUUAAUUUUAAAUUUUUAAAAAAUCGACCAAAAUAUUUUCAUUUCCUUCGUCUCUUCUCUUCUUUUCUCUCCACGGUCGGUACUUCUAGAAAUAUUCUAGCUUAAUUCUUUUUUUUUAUAUCUUAAUUGUAUAUGUAUAUUAUUUUUUUAUUAGCUAGCUGUUGUUUUUUUUUUAUUAUAGCGAACUUAAUAUUUAAAUAAUUAUAUUGUAUUUUUUUCCUUUUUUAGUAAUAAAAGCAUGUACUGAUAAAAACAUGCGCUGAUUGAAAAAGGCACAUCUGUUGCAUUUAAGGGCUCCAUAACAGCGCAUAUGGACUUCGAUCAAACUCAAUCCACAGAAGUUAAAUCUAUUGCUGGGCCUUUUACCGUUACGUUUAUUCUGAAUUGCAGUCUCAUUCAACUUAUUAGAUUCAUCUAAUUCAGCUUAUUAAUCUUAUAAACUUAUUAUUAUGGAGCAGAAAGUUGGACUAAUUUUAACUAAUAAUAAAUUGCCAACAGUAACGACGAUACUAAAAAUAUCUAUCCACUAACGCAUCCAACUAUAUAACAUAUACUUUUUAGAAAAAUUAAAAAUAAUUGUAAUAUUAUAUGGCAUCAUUUUUAUUUCAAAAAAAAAAAAGCUUAUGUUCAAGCGCAUUCUGUACUCAUUUACCAAUUUAGAAAUAAUAAUUGAGUAGUAUAUAAAUAUCGUCGCCAAUUGUUCUAUACAUUUAUAAUUAAGGCCGAUUGAUUCGAUAGCGGAGAUUGAAAAUACUGACUGGCUGAAGAAAAUGCAGUCUUCGUUAAAAGAUUGCAGGAAGAUUGCAGGAAGAUUGCGUUAGGGGGCAGUAGAAAAGUACGAUAAAAAAUAUCAUAUUUCUUUUCGUAUGUAAUACUGCGUUCCGUAUAUCACAAUGAGGGGCUGUUUGGUUGCAUGCAUUUGUAACUGCAGUGCAGUUACAAAUGCAUGUAAGCUCAAUUCCUGUGUUUGGUUUAAUGCAGUUGAGUCCAACUGCGGCAGUUGCAAUUGCAUAAGAAGGUCUAAAUACUGUAGUUGGAACUACAUCCAAAUUGGCUGCAGUUUCAAUUGCAGCAGUUGAUAAGAAAUAGAAUCACCAACAAAUUAACAAUAAUAAAUAAAUUAUAUAUAUAUAUAUAUAUAUAUAUAUAUAUAUGGAUAAAUAAAAAUACUUAUAAAUAUACUCAUACUAAUAAAAUUUUUUAGGCUAUACAAGUUUGUUGCAAAAAAUUAAAUUUUUUUAAAUUAAUUUUAUUCAAAAUAUAAAAAAUAUAAAUUUUUUCUAAAUUUUCAUAGAAUAUGAUUGUGUUUGUCAACUUAAUUAGUUUUAAUUAAUUAUAAUUAUUAAAUUUGAAAAAAAAGAGAAUCGUGUAAAUUUUUUAAAUUUGAUUUACAUAUUAAAAUUAAAUAAAUUAAAAAUUUUAAAUGUGCCCAUUCAUAAGUUGAAGAGUUAUUGAAAAAUAUAAAAAUAUUAUAUAUAUCCAUUUAUUUAUUUAUAGAUAGUAAAUUUAAAUGAUUAAUAAAAUUAUACAAUUAUUUUAUGUAUAGUGAAGAUAAUCUCACCACUCUAUCUAAAGAGAUGAUAAGAUUCACAAAUGCAACUAUCAGCUUCAAAUUAUCAAACAGAAAAAAUGCAACUGCAACAGUUGCAUCUACAUAAAACCAAAUAAACCAUAUGUAAUUACAACUGCUGCAUUUUCAGCUGCAUGCAUUUUUAACUACACUGCAUUUACAACUAUAUCGAACCAAACGGCCCCUGAAUAUAAUAUAUUUUCUGUAAUCCCAUCGGAAAAUACAGAAAUAUAUUUCUGUAUGUUUUUGCCCGAACUUUAUUUUAUCUUUAUUAGAGUUAAAUGGG
rnacentral:lncRNA from 1 species